AGAAAAGAAGUUAUGGUACUUAAGUGAGUGUCUUUUGAAAGUCAUAGCACUUGCGACAUCCUUUCUCCAAUCUAGCACCAUUUUAGUACAUUUUCUCUUUGUUUUCAAAAAAUAUUUAGUGGGCAAUCUUGGUCAAACUUAAGCCUAAUCUACUAACAUGCAAUAGUUGAUUGUGCAGGUGCGCAUACAAGAAUUUUGUAAUGAAUAAUCAAAGCAAUAUAUAAAUUACUAGAGAAAUGACAAACCUUUGUUGAUGCCUAAAUUUUGGCGAUCUAGUCAUUCAUUUAUUGCAUAGAAAAUUAGAAAUUAAUUCUUAACCCUUAAACAAAAAUAUUAGAAGUAAAUUGCAUAGCAUAUAGCUUUAGGAGCAUUUAUUAUUUAGUUUCUAUUUUCAUUAAUUGCAUUUGCAUUGGAUCUGCGACAAAUGAACUUAGAUGAAUGGUUUUGAACUUAAUGGAUUAGACUGCGCCCAUGAUGGUAUUAAACUUUGGUAGAGCCCGUCACUCUCUUCAUGGCCGAAAUUAUUCAUAAUAAAGCUUUAUAUUUUGGGUCACAUGGCAAAGAAAGCAAUUGGCAGGAUAUUCUAAGAUAUUCAUGUGUAAGAGAUGGGCAGAUUAUUUUGUUAUUCUUAAGAUCUCUCAUAUAUUGAUAGUUGGCAUAUCUACUUUUCUAUACAAGAGAAGAAAAAAGAGGAUUGCGGGGAUCUCGGCCAGCAUGGAAAGGGAAGGAGAGCUGGUCGUGUGUUUAAAUGGAAGGAGAUAUUGCUUGCCUUAUGAACCAAAAGUUUUCGCUUAUAAAUGGAUGGGCAAUGCACGCAUUCAGAGAAAGCGAUGCCAUUUAUGUAGGAGGCCACACAAUUGAGAAUACACGGCCACAAAAAGAGUGGGAAAAGGUCUUAUUGGUAAAUCCUUGGCUGAGACGCUUCUCUUGUUGUGCCACCUUCCACCGCGCCAUGGCGACAGCUUGUGCCGCCCCUCUGUAACGGAGCCUUGCGACGUUGUCUUAGCUGCCUGAUGCCACAAACAACUCUUGCCUCAUCAUGCUGAGCCCCCUGCUCGCAACUCGAGUCCCCUACAUGGUUGCUCAUCCUCGUCGCCUCAUGAACCACUGAGCCACUGCACUUGUUUCUUAACAACCAACGAGGUCCUCCCCUAGCCGUGCUCCAAUUUUCACAAGCGACGACAUUGCUCAUCAACUUGCCUUUGCUGCCAGCACCCAAUUGACACCCAAAUUUUUAUCGACAUUUUAAAAUAUUCAUUUAUUUUACAAAAAUAUAUAAAUUUAUAAAAAGAUACAAAAAAAAAUGAAAAAAAAUGAAAUCAAAGUGAAUAAAAAUCGAAUGUGCCAUCAUUAAGGGUGAUCGGGUCCAGGGUGGGUAGGGUUUAGACUUGGACCCUGUAACUGAUCAUGUUAUAACCGGUUCCCUUUUUUGGACCCUAUACCCGACCCUAUUUGCAUUGGACCUUAUACCAACCAUGUUUUUUCGGUCCGAUUCCGAAAUCAAUCCUAUUUCCAUUGGAACCUGUUUUGCAAUCUCCCGAUAUUCUAUAUGACUUUGAAUAUUAUAUUAAUACGCGAGAAAAUAGUGUAAUCCUCCUAAUUUGUAUCGAAACAUUAAGCACUUGUAAUAAAUAAAUACAUGAACUUUUUGACUAAUUAUAAUAAAUAAAAGAGAAAUUAGUCUUAUUUUCACAAUUACUAUAUGAAGCUACUUAUUUAUGCAAGCAUAAAUCCUCAUACAAAAGAGAAAUUAAGCAAGCGAAUCCAUGUGGUACACAAGAAUUUGGCCGUGAUGAACACCAUCCGUUCGUCGAACAGUGCGAGAGAGAGCUGAAGAGGGAAGGAAGCAAGUAUGGAAGAGGAACGACAAAAAAGGAGUGUUGUGCGCGUUUGAGAGAGCCAAGAGGAAAAACGCCAUGUGAUUGCGGGAGUAAGAAUAGACAUAAAGGAAAAAAAAAGGUUUUGGACCUAUACUUACAAAAUCAGUUCCCAAACCGGUUCUAGAACCGGUCUGGGAACCGGUUUUUGGGUGGGUAAUCAAUUGGGCCCGGUUCCCGAACCGGUUUAAACCGGUUCCAAAUUUUGGAAACCGGUUCUCGGACAGGUUUCAACGGGAACUGAUUCCCGACCCUGUUUUCUGGGUGGGCUGGUCCGGUUCUUGGGUAUACCCGAUCCGGUUGCACACCCCUAGCGAUCAUGCUUGAUGCACUUGGCAUAAUCUUCAGCCCUCCCCCCUAAAAUACUUGUCCUUUAGCCAUCCUUUCUUUUCUUUUUCCAGCCCAUUUCUUUUAUAUUUUCAAGAGAUAAUGACAUAAACCAUCUAUGAACUUUGACUUAAUAUAUGAUUUAUUCUCUGAGCUUUUGGUGUAUGUUCAAUACGGUUCUUGAACAGUAUGAAAAUAGUCAAUGUAGAAUAUAUACAAAAAAUUUAGGGAUCAUAUUGAAUAAAUUAAAAAUUCAGAAACUGUUAGUAUCAUUUUCCCUAUUUUCAGAGCCCACGAGAGGUUAACAACACCUAGCCCAUAUCAUUUCUUCCUUCUUCGGCACAGCUCACGUCUGUGAUGCAAGAAGGGGGACGCUCUUAGACUGUGACCGAAUAAAAGCUGUGAGCAUGCGCCAGUGAGCGAGAGAGGAGCCACGAAUAGUAGACGGGAGCAAUUCCGAACCUUCUAGAACAGUGAGCUGGCCAGGCUAACAGAAAAACAUUCCCCGUUGAGGAUCGCUCGAGGAUAUACAUAAGCAGGAGGCUUCGAGCAUUGGAAAGAAAAAACGGAGGAAGGCUCGAUGGUUUGGUUUUGGCAAAAACCAGAUUACAGAGAGAGAGAGAGAGAGAGAGAGAGGUGAUACUAGAGACGAGGCAUUGGAAAGAAAAAAUGGAGGAAGGCUCGACGGUUUUGACGAUCCUUCUGCAACCGGAGAGCCAUUCUGGCCAGGCGUCCCUCGUCAUUACCGAGCGAGAUCCCGACUCGACUAAGAAGCCUGGUACGAACGCCCCUUCCGUUAGAACAUGCUCAAGCCGUUGGAACUUAGUGAUCAAAAUCUUGACAAACCGAAGCAAGUUUAAGACAAUUCAUGAUGUUUCGAGGUUAAUGCGUCGCGCAUGGACUGAUGAAUACUUUAGAUUUAGACUUCAAGCUCGUGUGCAUCAGUGCAUGCCGACCGUUUGAUAUAUUGCUUGAAUGAAGCAUAGGAACCUUCAAGAAUAUUGAAUCUAAUGACGAAAGGUGUAAGUGAAUCAUAGCAAAAUAAGAUUAAUCCAGCAUGAAAAAUGUUAAUCCAGACCUGCGUGUAUCGGGGUUUAAAAAAUUGCAUGGAAUCUUCCCCUGGACCCCGUUGUUAAACCGCUCAUUAACUGUUUGAGGAAAGGCCUAAAUGAGUUGCCGAAAUCUUCAUAGGCAGAUUGACUUUAAUUAACCUGGCUUAUUGCAUUGAUUGCUCUUGCGUUUUUGCAUGACAUCUAAUAUUGUGCUUUUCCUGUGUUUUUUCUUGCGAUUACGUGCCCAUCGUUUUUGUGUUGCCGGAGAAGGAAUACACUACCGGAGCCUCUCAUCGGCAAGCCCCUGUCCAUGGUUCAAGGCUUCUCGAGUCAGCUUUUCUCUUUGUUUUAAAGUGCUUGUGUUAGUUUGUUUGCUGAGUUUGUUAAUAUUAGAAGUUUUGAGUUUCUGGGUGAUGUUCAUUUUGGUGUUCAGUGGUCGUCGGAAUAGCAAACCGGAAAUGGUAGGCACUGGUUGGUGGUGUUGGCUCGGGGAUGACACUGGCGGCCGGAGGGCGGUGGUGUCGAGUGUUUUUCGUCGGCGGAGAUGAGUUGCAGGAGUUCGGCCUCAUUGAAGGAGGAGCUAGAAGCUGAAGACAAUUCUGGGCAAAAGAAGACCAAGAAAUUAAAAAAAAAGGGGGGGGGGGGGGAAAAAGAGAAUAAGUGCAGAAAAGUAAUAAAAUUAGAGAAUAUAAAGAAAGGAGAGAUGGGUUUUGGUUGUGGGCUAGGUUCUUUUAGAGUUUGGGCCAACAUAAAAGGAAGUGUUCUUGGGCUGGUUUAAUUAAUUUUGAAUGGGCUUUAGGGUUAGUUUUUUUAGUCGAACUCGAUCCGAUGGGGUUCGGGUCGGUUAGUGGGGUUGGGUUUCUUGAUCCGACCGAACUUCUUUUAUAUUAAUAUUAGAGAAUAUUAAUAAUAAUGAACAAAUUUAAAAAAAGCUAAAAAAAUGUUUAAAGAAAUUUUCGAAAAAAAAUAAAAAAAUAUUUCAGAAAAUGAUAACAAUAUAAAUAAUCUUAGGAAAAAAAAUUAAAAAAAAUUGAAAAAAAUAGAAAAAUAUUAAAAAAAUUUAGAAAAUUUGGAAAAUUAUAAAAAAUUUAGAAAACCCAGAAAAUUUAAAAAAAAUAGAAAAAUCCAGAAAAUAAUCAAUUUAAAAAAAAUUCAGAAAAAGAUUUAAAACCCUCAAAAUGUGAAUCUCAAAAUUUGGGCAAGCCUUUAGGGCUUUAUAAUAGGCCUCUUCUUUUUUAUUGUAUUUUGCUCCUUUCAAAGACAAUAUUAAGAUGCUUGUACGCUUUCUUUUACGAUUGUAAUUUAUUACGUAUUUUAAUAUUUUGAUGUUACUUUCUUGCUUCAUAAUGGUUAGGGCAAACUUUAAAUUUCUUCGAGAUAUCGAAAGGAUAUUUGUUUUAGGGCUAAUAUAAUUAAGUCAUCGAGUAUCGCCACCGUGUGAUCUCCUGCCGUGGUGUGAGCCAUCGUCGGUCUACCCUCCGACAAGUCCAAAUUCAGGAAUGAUAUCCGCAAAAUAGGUAAAGACAUUAUCUAAAUGUGAUUUAGUUGUUUCAUUACUUAAUUCGUUGAUAUUGUGAUUGAACUCAAAUAUUUGAAGAUGUCAUAUUGAUGAAACCUGAGUAGCCUCUAAAUUAGGAGUCAUUUCCUAAUUGCUUAACGUGCUAUAAUCAUUAAUCUGAUCUCAUAUCCGAGAUACGAUUCGUAAUUGCAUGGAAAAUCAUCAAUUCGAUCUCAUGAUGCGAUUCGCGAUUGCAUGAAAAAUUGGCUAGUCUAAUCUUAUGUUCGAGAUAUGUCUCGUCAAUUUAUUUCCAAAAUUAGGUGGAUAUUGAUACUAUCUUGUGUGAUUUGAUGCCAUGUUUAAUGUGGAUUUAAUUUCUUUCCAUUUUUUGUUUGAUUUUAAUUGAUUUUAUUUCUUAAAAAAAUUAGAUAUGAUUAAAUUAGUUUUUUAAAGAUAGAUCGCAUGUUUAUUUUGGUUAUAUUAUAAUUCCAAAUUAAAUAGAAUACAAAAAAUGUCUUUUUAGAAUAAACUGGAUUUUCUUAUUCUAGGAUGUUUUGCAUGUUUAAAUGUUAGGCAUUUUUAAUUUCGAAUUUUAAUUAAAAGGAAAACACAAAAAAUCAUGUGCAUGUCACGUAAGAGUAGUUCAUUCAUUGCACUUCAUCUAGUAAAUUACAUGUUUAGGGUCAUUUAAAUUAAAAUGCAUGACAUAUUAGAAUAAUUGCAUUAAUCUUUUCUUGUCAUUAGAUUAGGUGAAUUAAAUAAUAUUGCGUGACAUAUAGUUUGCAUGUUAGGUUGUAUGUCGCGUGUCACAUGUUAUUUCGGUUGACCAUUUUUGCACAUCAUUGCAUUGCAUUGUAUAUAGUGUCUAAGUUUCAUUUAAAUAAGUGAAAACCCGAAAAAAAAAAUUUGAGCAAUUGCAUGUUAAUUUAAAAUCAUAUAUAGAAUUGUUGAUGUGAAAUAUGAGCCAACAUUGUAGAUGCUUUCAUUACUAUAAGGUGAAUCAUGUAAUUUAUUUACUACUUUAUUGAUUCUUAAAUUUGUGGUUUGUGCACCCGCAUGAUCACCUCACACGUUAGGAAGUAAUAAAAUUGAUCAAAGUUACGUCAUAUAUAUAUAUAUAUAUAUAUAUAUAUUUCAUGAAAAGAAUGGUAUCACAUUAGAGAAAUAUAGUGUAAUUAAGUCGUUGUACUCAAAAUCUCUACUUCAUAGGAGAAACAAAAUAAUUCUCCCAUUAUUUUACCUAGGCACUUAAUCAACCUAUCGUAAACUAAUUAGUAGUGACUUCAUAUUGAAAACGAUUUGCAUAUUAAAAAUAUGAACCCUAAGUUGUGAAUUUGUAUGAGUUUGGGAGAACCCGAGUUAACUCUAGUCUUAAUAAUCCGUUAGUGAACCCCUAAGUGGUUCCACCCGCUUUGUGGAGGCAGCGACAAUCUCAAUGCAUUAAGCAAAGCAUAACUUCACCAUAUUAAUGCCCCGAGUGUUCUGCAAGUGUUAACUAAAAUAUGCAUGUCCUAAAUAAGGAUUUUUAAAUACACUAGUGAUAAUUUCUUUUUGGAUAUUUCUUGUUUAAAAGAAAUUACACUAUGCAGUGCAUGAGAUGCAAUAUAAUUCUGGGUUAAGUCUAUGUGAUUUUUCAACUAAAAAAAGGAGUCUAUGUGAGCUAAUCUAACUAAUGACAUUUGACGAGGAUUAUCAUGCAAUCUAUACGUAACCUAAUUCUAAUAUCACAUGCAAUCUAAUUUAUAUCAGCCUAAACAUGCAAUAACUAAAUGAUAUUGAUAUGAUGACAUGGAAAUUAUGAAUUGGUGAUAUGAUGACGUAGCAACUAUGAGAUAACAAUAAUGCAAUUAUUUCUAUAUGAAAUAUGCAUGUUACUUUUAUGAUUCUCCUUUAAACUAGAUUAGGAAAUUGCCUUAAACAUGUGAUGACCUAAUUUAAACUUAAUUUAUAUUAAAUCCUAUUCUAAAUUAGAAAAUUUCAUAAAUUACAUGGCUUAUAGACAUGCAGCUCUAAACUAAGAAACAGAUAUAAAUGCAAUCUCCAAUCAUGCAAUGCACUUUUUACAUUUUUCAUGAUUACAAAAUUUACUAAUUCAAUGACAUGUCAUUUAACAAGCCCCUAUAAUCCACACAUUCACCUCAACCCAAAAUAGGAAAGAAAAAGAUAAUCGGAAAUUCCACCUUAAGUCUUUAAGAUUGAAUUUUCGUUUAUUAAGCAUAUAAUGCAAUAUAUCAAACUACUAAACUUUCUAUUGUGGGGACACCUAAAAUAUUGCACCAAAUUGAGUUAGAAUCGAAAUAAUCUAAAUUAGGUAACUAGGUAUUCAAAGUGAACAAGUAAACUUGGAACUUACCUGAACUGGAUUACUGACUCAAAUGAUGACCGAUAGCGAGUGGGUCGCAAGGAAGUUUCACGGCGGUGGAAUGGUGAGGAAGAGCAAGAGGUGGGAAUAGCAAGGAGUGUGAACAUCACAAGGAGAUCUCUGAAUCUUUGAUGCUUGAUUUCCUUGGUGAAGUUGAAAAACUAGUUAUCUUGAAGGUCUCCUCAAAAUUUGGUUGGAUUCCAACUUAGGACGAACACAUACUCACCGUUUUCGCGAGACCAAGCAUUGAGCUUUCUAGUGUUGAUCCCAAGUUUGACUGGUUUGGUUUUCUCCAUCAAAUAUAUACUUCCAAAUAUUCUAUGAUCAAUCCCACCGGACAAGCUAAAGAACAAUAUCUUACCAAACUCUCCAAAAAAUUUGAGAUGAUCCAACGAUUAAGGAAUGCGUGCUUGUUGAUUUCAUAAAACUGCCUGUGAAAUUUUUCUGGGGGGUCGCUAGAGAGAGAGCUCAUGUGGGUGUGUUUUUUUUGUGCUCUCUUGUGUUCUUGUUCUUUUCUAUUAUGUAUUGCCAAACCCUCUUUGUGAACCCUCGAAGCACAUAUUUAUAACUAAUUGUGAUAAUAUCAAGUUUAAUUGAUUCAAAAUCCCGAACUUUCUUAUCUCGAACUCAGUAAGUAAAAAUUCCUAAUCCUUUACUAGAAUGACAACUCAUCAUCAAAUCUAGCAUGAAUAGUGAAUAGUACUCGUAUUAAAAUAUUGAUGGCAGAUUGAUAGAAAUACUACUGCUUCACCUCGACUACACAUAUGUAUCCCUUCGUUGUAACUUCAAUGCAUCCUUACCUUCAGUUUAUCCAUGAACACACCAAGUCAUGUAGUAAUAAACAUACUGGCAUGGAUAAAAGGUUUAUUAACAUACAUCUUGCCUCAACUAGGGCAUCUUGGUUCAAUUGAGGGAUUCGGCUUCAAGUUAGGCAUCCUAGCUCAACUAGGGCAUCUCUGCUCAACCGAGGCAUCUCGGGGGCUAGCUCACUUGAGGCAUCCGAGCUCAACCCAAGCAUCCUAACUCAACCAGGGCAUCCCGUUCUCACGAAUGAGGUAUUGCCACCAACGCUACAUGAUGACGAUUUUCUUCUUUCAUUUAAUGAUCACAUAUCAUGUGUUGUACAAGUUUGUUUAUUAUCUUCCAUCUUAACCCACACAUGAGCAAACCAUAUAAAAUUGACUCGCGACAUAAAAAUGACUACUCAUGUACUGGUUCUUAUCUAUUUUCACCUACUAAAGUAGUAGAUACCUGUUUGCUUGAUUCUCUUCUAUGGAUGUCCUCACUCAUUAUUAAAUCUCAAACCCAUCAAAUAUCAACUUUGUUGACCUAGAGGAAUUAUUAACUGCAGUAACAGUAGUAUUCCAACUAUCAAACAAUGCGGAUAAAAAAAUGAAAGCACAUACCUCAAUUUCAAAAUCAAUCUCAACCAAACUCAAUUGACUAACAAUCACAUUGAAUUCAUUGAUAUGAUCCACAACUGACGCACAUUUGCGCAUUUUCAAGUUACACAGACAUUGUGUCAAAUAAAUCUUGUUGAUCGCAGAGGGCUUUUCUUGUAGUCAAAUAGGGCUUUCAUCAAACCCGCAAUGGUUUUCUCCUUCACAAUGUUAAACAUAAUGUUACCAGCCAAUGUUAGUUGAAUAACACCUAUAACUCAAUUAUCCAGCAAUUCUCAAUUAGCCUGUUCCAUUGUCUCUAGCUUCUCCCUAGACAAGGCAAAUGUAGUUUCAUUUGAUAGAGAUAAUCUUCAAUCUGCAUCUUCCAUAAAUCAAAAUCCUUCCCAUCAAAUCUGUUCAUUCUUACUUUCUUUCUUCAGUCACCAUAUAUUCGCUUCAACUCAGCCAAGUCUAGCUCAGAUGCCAAUUGUUGUGGAAAGUGGGCGAUUGAAUAAUAAAAUAGACAAAACAAGAAUAUAUAUUAGAUAUCAUAUUUAUAUGGUUCGGUCGUAACGACCUACAUUCACGUGGAGAGCAACAAUGAAUUUUACUAUAAAUCAAAUGAUAUAAUGGAGAUUAUACGCUCGAAUAAUUCAAACACUCUUAAGUGUUUCCCAACCCCAAUUACAUCCAAUAAUGCACACAAUAUUUAGCCUCACAAUUCCUCUCAAAGUAUUCUCUCAAUCUCACAAAAGAAUUAUACACAAAUUAUUAACGUAAGAAAUUAAUCAACUUUAACUCUAAAAACUUCUUGGUGUAAUUGCAUGAAUGAACCAACAGAGAAAAAAAAAAAACCCCUAUCCAUGUGCAUCAACAACAAUCUCUUCCAAGCACUCAUGUAAAGGUGAUGCUUCAUGCAAUUUCUAACAACAUCGUGGCUUCUUGAUAUAUAUGCAAAACAAGUCACCAAGUAUUGGAGGAAAAAAAAAUCAAAUCUUAGUGAGCUUCGGUCAACCAAGUCCAAAAAUUGGACUUUCCUAUUUUGUCUUUUCUUUGCUGUGACUUCAACAAAAUAAAGAAAGUGCAUCUUAUCUGUUAUUACUUCCUACCAAUGUUGACCGAGUCAAAGAAAGAAAGCUCAAAGUCUAGAUUGACUCUUCAAAUUUAAUCCUUAUCUCGAACGUGCAAUAGGUUUCUGAAUAUUUCCUUGUAAAAUAAAUUUCCCUUGCGCUAACUUCAGUAAGAAGGUGAUUUCCUUCUCUUGUUUUCUAACCAAAAGUCAGACUCCAAGAAGUGAUCCAAGUCAAUAAUGAUCCAACUCUAAUAUGGACUUUGCUAAUUUACACCACAUCCGAGAAUGUUCAAUGAUUUCAGUCAUAUUUCCACAUGCAUUUAUUUGAACGUCCACAAAUAUAUUUCUCUCGGGUCGAGAUUCGUUUGUGAGCUCAAUUUGAAGACAUAUUUUAACAAUUAUGGUGGUCAUUAGGGGUGACCGGUUCCCGAUCCAGUUCCCAAUAAUCGGAAUUGAGGACAAAACCAAUUGGUUCUAGGUCUGAGAACCAAACCAGUCCAAUGGAACCGAUCACUUAUUUUUUCCCAUUACUUGGAACUGGACCAAGGUAGUGUUUAGUUCACAUUUUACUAUUUUUUUAAGAAAUAAAAAAAUAAAAAAAGUGUAUUUAGUCGGUCCGGUUUGGCUUCCCCUUAGAAUUAGGAACCGAACUGUCUAAACAUUGGUUCCACUUUUAGAAACCAGGAACUGGACCAACACUAUUGGGAGUCGAACCAAACUAGUCGGUCCGGUUUGUUCCAAGUGAUUCCCAAUUUAGGCAAUUCGUUUUGCACAUCCUGUGACAUCCUGAAAUUCGACCCCGUUUCGAUAAAGUGAAAUGGGCAUUUCGUCAACGUGCCUAUGGCCCUUUUUCUCUGAGCUGAUCACUCACGAGUUAACUAACCUAUUGGGUGAAGCCGUUAAGGGAGGUAUUUGCAGUAAAAUCCCUAAAAGCUAUCUAAUUAGUUGGAUUGGGCUAAAAUCACGUCUGAUCGAUUUUUAACCACGAAAUUGAACUCGAUUUCGGGAAUCGAAUUUUAAGCGCGUCAUAAUUCUUUUUUUUAGGACCUUGUCUCAUCAUUCGUCAAUUUAUUGACGAGUCCGAAAUUUCAAUAAAGAAAUUAUCGGAAGAAAAUUUGAAGACCGAAAGAAAAUAAAAAGGGAAAGAGAAAAGAAAAUAAUAUAAGAGAAGUAAUAUGAUUUACUUUUUCUUUUUCUCUUUCUCUCCCUUCUCUUUUCUUUUUCUCUCUCUCUCCUCUCUCCCCUCCCCUUUCCCUCCCCCCUUCGUGCGAGCCCCCACCGGCUGCUCUCUCUCUCUCUUUCUUUUUCCCUCUUUGACCGGUCAAUACUUAUCUCUCUCUUCUCUCUCUCUCUUCUUCCCACCCCACGUGACUGACUUCUUCUCCCUCUUUUCUCUCUUGUUCGUGCGAACCAGAAGCCAAAGAAGACAGAAGUAGUAGCCACCGUCGUUUGAAGACAGGAGCAACUCCGCCGCUCACUGCCCGCCUUCGCUUCUCCCUCGCCCCCUCAGCUGUCGUCACCACCCCCUUCUCCUCUUCUCUGUUUCAUGAGAAGACCAACAGAGACAGAAGCGGAAGCAGCCGCGGACGUUGCCUGAAGACUAGCCGCCAUUGCUGCCGCACCAGAGCCGGACCGCUCGCGUGCCCGCCGCUCGCCGUCGUCCCGCCGUCCGCACGCAUCCCCGCAUCCAUUGCCUGCUGCCGUCCCUGCCAUGCAACCCAGUUUCUGUUCAGCCUCUCUUCAGCCACCGUGAGUAGCUGAGCAAGCCGCCGGAGCCGCCGUGCAGCCUUGCCGGACCGCCGCCUACCUUCCCGACCCCUUACCGCCCCCAACCCUCUCUCUUUCUCUCUGUUUUGCAGCCGAACCAGCAAACCCGCGAGUGGGUUUCCAGCCGGUUCGUGGGCCAUUUUGGGCCGUUUCCGAGCCCCGAACCCAAGCCGUGCUUUGGGAAGAAUCGCUCCUCGUGUCGUCCCCGUCGGAUUAAUACAUUUUGCGCGCGAUUCCAGUGAGUAAUUUCACUAAUCCCUGAUUAGUUGGCUAAUUAUGCUUAAGGUUGGUUUAGUUUUAAUUAAUUAGGUUUAGGUGGUUAGAUUAGUAUGGAUUAGUGUUUAUUAGUCAAUUGUGAUGCGAAUUAGCCAAAUUGAAUGUGCAAUUGGCAAGUAGACGUGGUCUACUAUUUAUUGAAAGUAUCUCGGGAUUUUUCCCGACCCUUACUGGGCUCCAAUUAGGCUUUUCGGGCCUAAGGGGAAAUUUUGGUAUUUAAAUAUUAAUUUUCGGAAUUAAAUUAAUUAAUUAUUUAUUUUCCGAAAAUUCAAUUGGGAUGGCCCGAGACCGGAAUAUUAUGCUGAUGACCGUGGUGAAGUCCGUUUAUUUAAUCGGGCCUUAUUUUGAGCUAAAUCAAAUUUUUAAUAGUAAUUAUUUAAUUUUCGAAAUUAAUUAAUUAAUUAAUUAAUUUCCGAAAAUUCAAUUGAGAUGGCUAAUGACCAGAAUAUUAUGCUGAUGAUCGUGGUGAAGUCCGUUUAUAUAAUUGGGCUUUAUUUUGUGCUAAAUUGAAUUUUUAAUAUUUAUUAAUUAUUUAUUUUUUGGAAAUUAAGAUUGAGAUGGCCGACGACCGAAAUCUCGUGCUGAUUGUCGUGGCGCAGUCCGUUUAUUUAUUUGAGUUCUACGUUGCAUGGAAUUAAAUAAAUUGUGAUGUUUUAGGGAUUUACCCUAAUUGAAUUGGAAUUGAUUGAGAUUGAAUGAUUGAUUGGUAGAUGGCCGAGUAUGUUUAUUUAGCAUUUAUAAUGCUUUGAUGAGUUGUAAAGUGGAUGGAAUCAUGAGAGUGAACUGGAAAUACUCUAGGCUAUAACCAAUCCGACACGGUGUAUGGGCCUACGUGGUUCGGUGAUUGGGAUAUCACUAGCGAAAACGGCGCCUUAAAGAACACACGUAUCGGUCUAGUACAUACAUUAUUGUGGACCUUCGUGGUUCGGUGAUUGGGAUAUUACUGGCGAAAACGGCGCCUUAAAGAACGCACGUAUCGGUCUAGUACUCAUAUUGUUAUAGGCAUGUAUGGUUCGGUGAUUAAGGAUAUUACUGGCAAAAACGGCGCCUUAAAGAACGCAUGCACUUGUCUAUUAAACACACUGUUAUAGGCAUGUGUGGUUCGGUGAUUAAUGACAUCACUGGCGAAAACGGUGCCUUAAAGAACGCACACAAUUGUCUAUUGAGUACAUGGUUAUAGGCAUGCGUGGUUCGGUGAUUAAGGGCAUCACUGGCGAAAACGGCUCCUUAAAGAACGCACGCAAUUGUCUAUUGAACAAAUCAUUGUAGGCAUGUGUGGUUCGGUGAUUUGGAAUAUCACUGGCGAAAACAGCGCCUUAAAGAACGCACACAAUUGUCUAGUGGAUACGUCACCUUGGCGAACUUGAUGCCCGAGAGCAUUGAUGUGGCUCUGUGACCAAGUACUCGAUGGAAGGAUGUAUGGCGUGGAAUCAAUGACCUAGAAUGGUCCAUUUGACAUGUAAUCUAGGUCGAUUUAUCAUUGCUUUGAUUUGAUGUUGUGAUAUGAUUGAUUGAAGGGAAAUGACCGUGAGUGGUCUUGUUGGCAUGUGAUCGACUGGGUCGAUUGAUCGAGAUAUCGAUUUGUGAUGUGAUUGCUUGGGUGCCUAUUGAACUGUGCUAAUAUGUAGGUGGAAUCGGAGGCCAAGGUAAGUCCUCUGCCUUGUGCGUGUUUAGGCAGCCUAUAGUAUAAUAGUUUACUAAUCGAGCCUUAGUGGGAUAGAACUCACUGAGACGUAGUCUCAUCCCGGUUUGGGGAAAAACAUUUCAGGACCCCGUUAAGGAGCUGAGGAGGAAUCUGAGAAGGAAUACUCGGAGGUGAAACCUGAGGAGAAGGAUUUUGAAAGAAGAAGAUAAUACCGAGAGGGGCCUUGAGUACGGCCCAAAUGGACUGAAAUUCUAUCUUCUUUUGAGAUCUCCAUUUUGGUGUGAAUAGAGAUAGAGUAAAAAGUUGUGAAGUACUCUGGUUUGUAUUUUGUAUAAAAGUUUGGUUAUAAGUUUCAAUAUGAAAAAUAUGGCCCUGCUUUUCUAUCCCAUCAUUUUAUUGUCUGGGGAUUUUAACUACUUCCGCAUGUGCUUAAUAAAUGAAAGGGUCGGUGAUACAUAGUCCUGGGAUAUCGCAUUAUAAAAUCGACCAAGUGAGAAGGAUGUGUGCGUGCCCGAGGAUCGGGGCGUGACACAUCCCUAAUGGUGAUGGUGAUGGAGGUGGAAUCAUCCAACGAGAUACUAAGGUUGCUGAUGUUGUCUUGAAUUACACAAAAUUCAAUUGGAAAAUCUAAGAAGGCUUGAAGAUUGUAGGCUAUUUAUUUCCAAAUAUAUUUCCUAGAUUUGGGUUUCAAAUUUGAUAAUAUAUUUAUGGUGGAAUUCCUUUCCUACUAGGAUUAGGAAAGUGGGGAUCUAAAGAUCUACUUAUUUCAGCAUUGUACCUUGUACUCAUGUGAUACGUUCAAAAAGAAAUUGUCUCUCUCUUCCAUGGACGUAGGUGAAUUUUUCCGCCAAACCACAUAAAUCUCCAUGUUCUUAAUUAUUCUUGUUUACUUUUCUCAUUUAGUUAUGGUGUUCUUCCGCACAACAAUUGGUAUCAGAGCAAUCUAGGUUCUCCGUUCCUAUAUUGUGACUUCUAACUAGAUGGUUGGAAAAGGUUCAACCGUUCGAUUUGAUAUUGCACAAUUCACCGGGAAGAAUAAUUUUACACUAUGGUGGAGAAGGAUGAAGGAUUUGUUGAUUCAACAAGGUUUAUCAAAGGUUCUUCUGGGAAGAUCGAACAAGCCGGACACCAUCACUGAUGAUGAUUAGGUCGACAUGGAGGAGAGAGCGUGCAGCACAAUCCGAUUGAACCUAUCGGAUGAGGCCCUUCAAUAUGUAGCGGAAAUUGAAUCUGCUCCGGAGGUAUGGCUCAAACUCGAAAGCAUUUACAUGACGAAAUCUCUUACAAACAAGUUGUUCUUGAAGAAGAGAUUGUAUUCACUUCAAAUGAGUGAAGGAGGAGAUCUAUUAGAACACCUCAACGUGUUCAAUCAGAUGAUUAGUGAACUUACAAGCUUGGAGGUAAGGUUUGAGGAUGAAGACAUAGCGCUUCUACUAUUGGCAUCGUUGCCGGAUUCAUUUGACCACUUGGGGACUACGCACCUUUAUGGCAAGGAAACCCUGGACAUUGGAGAGGUGACUGCUGCCCUAAUUUCAAACGACACCUGGAAAAAGGGCAAGUAGUUCAAAAUCUUCGGGACAGGGACUCUUUGCAAAGGAAAAAAGCAAUCAAGGAAGAGGAAGAUCAAUGGAUUGAGGAUCGAGUAGUAGGGGUCGAUCAAAAUCCAAGGGAAAGUUCAAGGGAAGAUGCUACGGGUGCAAUCAGGAAGGGCAUACCAAGAGAUUCUGUCCAAAUAAGAACAAGAAAAAGAAGAAGAGCUCGGAUGAGGCAAGUAUAGCCGAUAGCAUUGAGACCAAUGAUGGGGACGUCUUGUCCAUAUCGUCGGGGAAGGACAUCUUUGAAGAUUCAUGGAUCAUGGACUUCGGAUGCACUUUUCACAUGUGUACUCAUCGAGAAGCCUUCGAUGAGUACAAGGCAUAUGAUGGUGGUUCAGUUCUCAUUGGGAUUGAUACUUCGUGCAAGACUAUAGGUGUUUGAACCGUGAAAAUCAAGAUAUUUGAUGGCAUGAUUAGAACCUUGGCAGACGUGCGUCAUGUUCCGGGUCUAAGGAAGAAUUUGAUCUCAUUAGGUGCACUUGAAUCCAAUGGGUGCAAGUACAUGGCUCAAGGUGGAGUCUUGAAGGUGAUUAAGGGAGCUCUGGUUGUUCUUAAGGGAUAGAGGCACGGGAACCUAUAUCGACUUAUAGGAACCACAGUGUAAGGUGGAGCAUCUGUGUCCACGGAUGCUAGCACGGAGAUAGAUAACACCUAUCUAUGGCAUAUGCGUCUUGGGCAUAUGGGAGAAAGAGGAUUGAUGGAGCUUCAUAAGAGGAAUGCACUCCAAGGUAUAAAAACAUGCAAAUUAGAUUUAUGCAAAUUUUUUGUGUUUGGAAAACAAUGUAGAGUACGGUUCAAUGCUGCAACUCAUACAAGCAAGGGCGUGCUUGAGUAUGUACACACGGAUGUAUGGGGUCCUUCAACGGUAAAGUCAAAAGGAGGGAAGGAAUACUUCGUGAAAUUCAUUGACGAUUUCUCUCGCAAAGUUUGGGUCUACUUCAUGCAACACAAACGUGAAGUCUUUGAAAAGUUCAAAGAAUGGAAAGCUGAAGUUGAGACUUCAAUGGGGAAAAAGGUUAAAUGCUUGAGAUUAGACAAUGGAGGAGAGUGCAAAUCGACACCAUUCAUGGAGCUUUGCAAGAAUGAAUGGAUUAAACGUCACUUCACAAUUCCGGAUAUGCCCCAAUAGAAUGGCGUAGCGGAAAGGAUGAAUUUAACCUUAUUAGAGAGAGCUCGAAGCAUGAGGCUACAUGCGGGACUGAGCAAGGAGUUUUGGGCAGAAGUUGUCUGCAUGGCAUAUUAUCUUGUGAAUCGGUCUCCAUCAACUGCAAUUAAAUGCAAAAUUCCCGAAGAGGUAUGGACUGGUAAAAUUGUCGAUUAUUCUAAUUUAAAAAUAUUCGGUUGUCCUGCUUUUGUACACGUGCAGAGCUUGAAGUGCUCGAAGUUGGAUCCAAAAUCAAAACAAUGCAUAUUUCUCGGUUACGAGAAAGGAGUGAAAGGCUACAAAUUAUGGGAUCCAAGUGAAAAGAAAGUUUUGAUGAGUAGGGAUGUUAUGUUCAAUGAAUUUGCAAUGUUGAAGUCAAGUUGCGUGCCACACGCGGAUGCUGAAGAGGAGAGUGAUAAAUCUAUCGUUAAGGUGGAGCUUGAAACUAGAGAAUCUGCAGAGAAUGGCGAGUCAUCCGAUGAGGCUCCAGAAGUCAAAGAAACAGUAGAAGUUCCUCGUACCAUUGCGACAGGUCGAGGAAGGCGCACUCCCAAAGCACCGAAGAGGUAUGGUUUUGAGGAUAUGGUUGCUUAUGCUCUUAUCGUAGGCUCUGGCGAUCCAAGCUCCUACCAUGAAGCUUUGAAAAGUGAUCACAAAGAAAAGUGGAUGGCUGCAAUGAUGGAGGAGAUGGAGUCGUUACAAAAGAAUGAGACAUGGGAACUUGUGAAGAAGCCCAAGGAUCGGAAUGUCAUUGGUUGCAAAUGGGUUCUUUGAAGAAAGGAAGGAGCAAUGGAGAAAGAGCAAGAGAGAUACAAGGCCCGACUUGUUGCUAAGGGCUAUGCAUAGAAGGAGGGGAUUGAUUAUGACGAUAUAUUUUCCCCAGUUGUAAAACACACAUCAAUUCAUGUUUUACUAGCUAUGGUAGCCAUGUAUGACUUGGAGCUUGAGCAGCUAGAUGUGAAGAUGGUAUUCCUUCAUGGUGACUUGGAGGAGAAAAUUUAUAUGGAGUAGCUUGAAGGCUUCAAGGUGGAAGGAAAAGAGGAUCAUGUUUGUUUGCUCAAGAGAUCACUUUACGGUUUGAAGCAAUCUCUGAGGCAAUGGAACAAAAGGUUUGAUUCUUUUAUGCUUCGUAUUGGCUACAUGAGGAGUGUGCAUGAUUCUUGUGUCUACUACAAAGUUUUGGAUGAUAAGUUGCUUAUUUUGUUGAUGCUCUAUGUUGACGAUAUGUUGAUUGCUGCAAGAAAAAUGAGAGGCAUUAUUUCCUAAAAGUCUCAAUUAAGUAAUGAGUUUGAUAUGAAGGAUCUUGGUGCUGCAAAGAGGAUCCUUGGCAUGGAAAUUUUUUGAGAUAGACAUGCAAGUAAGCUUUAGAUAAAUCAAAAGAAGUAGUUGAGAAGGUCUUGGAAUGGUUCAACAUGGGUAAAGCUAAACCGAUUAGUACACCCUUAGCAAAUCACUUCAAAUUAUCUAAGAAACAAUGCCCUGUUUCACAUGAGGAAGUUGUAAAGGUGUCUCGAGUACCUUAUGCCAGCGCAAUAGGGAGCCCCAUGUAUGCUAUGGUUUGUAGUAGACCAAAUUUGGCUCAUGCGGUGAGUCUCGUCAACCGAUACAUGAGCAAUUCGGGUAAGGAGCAUUGGGAAGCUGUUAAGUUGAUCUUUUGUUAUUUGGCUAGAACUGCCGGAAUGGGUUUAAUGUUUAGUUCCAAGGGAGGAUCAAUCGAUUUAGCAGGCUAUGUUGAUUCAGACUUCACUGGUGAUUUGGACAAGCGAAGGUCCACUCUUGGAGGUGGAGCUAUUUCUUGGAAGGCAAUGCUUCAACCUACUGUAGCAUUAUCUACAACCGAAGCUAAGUAUAUGGCAGUAACUAAGGCUGCGAAGGAGGGAACAUGGCUGAUUGGUUUGGUCACAGAGUUGGGUAUAAAGCAAGAAAGUCUUACAUUAUAUUGCAAUAGCCAGAGCGCGAUAUGUCUCGCGAAGAAUCAAGUGUUCCAUUCCGAAAUAAAACACAUUAAAGUUCGGUACCACACAAUUCUAGAAUUUGUGGAGAACGGUAGCAUUGCUUUGAAGAAAAUCCAUACUGAAGAAAAUCCAUACUAAAUAUAAUCCCACGGAUAUGCUCACGAAGAUGGUUACUAUAGAGAAGUUCAAGUCCUGCAGGGACUUGAUUUCUCUCACUCAUCAUUGAAGUUGAUGGAGGCCGCACCGAUCCAGGUGCGGGCGUACCUUUGCGAAGGUAUGGUGGAGGGAGAUAUAUAUUCGUUUUCUUGGUUCAAGUGGAGGCUUGUGGUUUAUUCAAGCCAAAGGUGGAGAUUUGCUGAUGUUGUCUUGAAUUCCACAAAAUUCAAUCGGGAAAUCUAGGAAGCCUUGAAGAUUGCAGGCUAUUUGUUUCCAAAUAUAUUUCCUAGAUUUGGGUUUCAAAUUUGAUAAUAUCUUUAUGGUGGAAUUCCUUUCCUACUAGGAUUAGGAAAGUGGGGAUCUAAAGAUCUAUUUAUUUCAGCAUUGUACCUUGUACUCAUGUGAUAUGUUCAAAAAGAAAUCGUCUCUCUCUCUCUCGUGGACGUAGGCGGAUUUUUCCGUCGAACCACGUAAAUCUCCAUGUUCUUGAUUAUUCUUGUUUACUUUUCUCAUUUAGUUAGGGUGUUCUUCCGCACAACAAAGGUGUGAGUUGAGGCGUUUGGAAAAAGACGACGACUAGAGAGAAGAGAGUAAUAUAGGAGAGGGAAGACAAUUUGAGCUCUAAUGGGUUGGAAAUGGGUUCUAAACUGAACCCAUUUAGACCUUUUUAUUUUAGGCUUUAAAUUUUAGAGCAUAUUAUGAGCAGACUAUUCAAAUUUGAAGUGAUCAUAUAUGUAUUUAAGACCCAUUUUUUGACAGAUCUAACCGUGGCUCAUGGGGAGUGACUUAGACUUCCACACUUGCAAAGUAGAAUCCCAUCAACAACGUUUAUAACCACCUUUUGUGCUCCACUUAUUUUGUGGGUUCAUUACGAAUAAUUUAGCUUUACUUUGUUGGAAAUGAACGAUGCACAUUUUCCGAUGGAAAGAAGAACAGAGAUUCGUAGAAAUGCGAGAAUGUUGAACUAAUACUUUCUCUGUGGCAGAUUUACACUACUUUCUUUAUUUUGAAUGUUCCCUUGCGUUCCCGACAAAAAAGAAAGGAAUGCCAGUUAAAAAGUUCUUUAUGUAAUUAAUCCAGCAAAUCAAGUGAUAAAAUUGAUCAACAAAAGCAGGGAGGAAGCGAAAGGAAUAUGUAUAAUCAACUUGUUCGAGGUACAUGGAGAGUGUCAACAUAAAGAUAUGAUCUCAGCUAGUAUAGUUUACGAUAAAAGGAAAAAGAGAGUUAGCUUUCUCAAUGGCCAAAUUCAAUUCCCUCUUUCUCACCUUGAAUCUUCCUCAUAGUGUCAAGAUAUGACUUCCCUUGAAGCUCACGAGAGAAACGUCCCUUGAAGUAAUCGGCAACGCCUAUUCUUCUGAAUAAUGCUGGCUUGUCCGAUGAGACCAGGCUCGGUGCAGGACCCAUUUCACCGUCCAAUUUUGGGCCGUAAAAUGUGGCAAAUGAGAGCCUUUCCUUCAUCGAGUUAAUCGUAGCUCGGUGCUCAAUGCUACGAUAAGCACCAUUUGUCACGAUCUAUGUCAAUCAUCAGAUACACAAAAUAUCAUGUCACUUCUUUGAUGGAUUUUGUUCCGAAAAUUCUAUCAUCCAUUCUCAUUUUAUGUAACUAAGUAACUCAAUGCAUCUGAAUAAACAAUGAUGCCCACACAAGGAUUGGGAAAAUAUUAACGUAACUACACAGAUUUCGUGCACUCCGUGGUUGGUUUAGUCCACCAUAUUAUUCAAGAUUACUAUUGCAUUCUCAACUGCAUAAAUUUUCAUUUAGAUAGACUAAUCCAAGGCUUUUUUUCCCCAUAAAGCAUAAAUAAAAAGUUGUGCAUAUUCUGAAUGGAAUGACAUUCUUGUCGUCAAUCGCACAUGAAUCUAGCAAUACUGGCUCGCAUAUCAAACAAAAUUUGGUGGCAUUCCACAUCAAACAACAGAUAUAGGGCCAAUCGAAAAGCUUUACCUCUAAAAUAUCUCCGACAUUGACAACGAAUGCAUUGGGAAGAGGCUUGACGGGGACCCACUUGCCCUCUUUCUUUAUUUGCAGACCUUCCAUUUCAUUGACUUGGAGUAGGAUGGUGAGGGCUGAGGCGUCAGAGUGAGGAGUGAGGCCAAUGACGAGCUCGGGUCGCGGACAUGGAGGGUAAUAAUUCAUCCUAAGGGCUUGCCUGCCUCCAUCAAACAGUUCUAUCACGUCCUUGGUGUCCAUCUUCAGAGGUUUUGCCACGAGAAGUAGUAUCUUCAUUGCAAGAUCUCGUAACUCUGAGGAGUAUUUUUCCAAGACGUCUCUGCAUAAAAAUAAGAUGAUACAUAUAAGGAUAGGUUAGCAAGGUGUGUGUGAGAGGGAGAGAGAGAGAGAGCAUGAAUUUUCUCUCAAGAAUACAAAAACACUUAAAAGAAUUAUUUUUCGUAGAAGUACCAUAUACAUAAGCAGAUUUCAUUGUAAUUUCUAUCCAAAACCUAAUAAUAAAAAAAAAAACUUAAAAAAGACUUAAAAAAAUAUUUAAGACUUAUUCUUAAACGGGUACCCAUCCCCCAUGAAACCGUUAUUCAAUAGGCACAAGAAAUCCGAUGAAUCCUUCGAUUGCUUCCUAAUCUCACUUUGAUUGUCUCGUUCUUUAGGAGCAAGGGAUGGGCAAAUCAUUCUAACUGCGUCGCCAAUCAUCUUACCUGCCCAUGAACAGCUGAAAGGAACGGCAUCAUUUAGCUUGAAUUUGCCAACAGCGAAAACGACAAUUCUUUGUCCCCACACUCCAGAGUCUCAAUCAUCACGUGAUCAUGAAGGGGACGCUACGUAAAUUAUUGCAUCGUGUCAGGCUAGAUGAGCUAAUUUGUAUACUAAAUUACUUCAACUACUUUGUGAACUAUUUUCGUUAAAAAUGUUUUUUCUUUUUCAAUUCAAUGUUAUUCUUUUUUAUAGUAAAUUUACUCUAUUCUUUUCUCCCUCCUUUUUCACCAUGGGCCGUCGUCCGUGUUUCUCUCUCUCGCGUGCACGUUUGACAUCUAUCUACCCCCGAAACCCCCGCUCUGCUACCGUUGUCGCCACCUCUCGCUCCUUUUACAAGAAUCCUCAUCUUAACUAAAUGUCUCAUAGGUGUAUAGCGUACUCAAUGCAUGAGUGAGUGAGAACCUGAACGGAGAAGGAAGCAUGGGAAAAAGGCGAGGUUUUCUCAAAUGUCUUGGGAGGGACACCAUGGAGAAGACGUCGCUCCAAUCAAGCUUUUGCUCCUCCGACACGACAUACGUCUGCCCAAAACCCUCCAUGUCUCCUUCUUCUUGCCAAAACAUCCUCUUCUCCUCCAUUGGAAGCUUGAAGAACUCCUGUAUUCCCAACUUCACCUCCUCCACCAAUGAACAACUCACUCCAUGAUUUAUCAACUACAUGCACAAAAAGGGAUUAAUGAACUUCAAAACUCUGAUUCUUGAAAAAGAAAUCCAGAUCUUUUGUCUCAAUAAUCCUCACAGAAAGAAAAAGUAAAAGCUGCUUUUCUAACAUUUUACCUGGAAGAAUCCCCAAUCUCUGCAUGCAACGUGCAACUUUUCAAGCUCAGACUCCAUAAAAUCGUCAUUGCUUGAUGAGAGCUUGCUCAGAUCAAUUACUGGCGCUUGAAGCAACGAUGUCCCAAGCUCAGCAUGCAUGAACGGGUGAUCUUGGUCGACACGGACAUAGCGAGGCGGGACUUCAGUUAUGGGUUCUUUUGCCAUCUCCUGAACACUUGGGGCUGGAAGAGAACUACCAAGCUUUGUGAGAUUCGCAUCCAUUUGAGUAGGCUAUAAGUUACAAAGCUCAUUUGAGAGUUCAGUGGCUGUAGUAUCUUGCGUAACUUGGUUUCUCAUUUAUAACAGUUGUGUCGAGAAACCUCGCAUUUUGAGCCACAAGAGCAUGUUCGGGUGCAACGUGUAAUUUGGCAUAACAUGAUUCAAAUAACAUAUUUAAAAAAAUUAAUCUAGGACAUCACGUGUUGCCAAGGUUGCCUUUGCCUGCUCACCUGACUUGAAUAAAGCCAUGUUCCACUGUGAAUCAUUUCAGAGGAUGAGAUAAUAAGUCCCUUACAAUAAGAGAUGUUAUUACACCCACAAGUCAAAUGGCCAUUUGCUUCAUCUACAGCUUCUGGAUCUCCAACUCAAUCACUCCUAUACACAAAGAAUGGAAGCCAAAAUCAACACAAGACUGACAACAACUUCUGUUACAAUUAUCCUUCUACAGAAGAAGCUACUCCUUACCUAAAAAUCGAAUCUCUGAAAAAAAAGAAAAGAGAGAGAUUUCCAAAGAUUACUCGCAGUGAAGUUUGGCAAGGUAGACAUAUUAUAUCAUUAUCUAGAAUAAUAAUUAUAAAUAUUUAGAUUAUUAUACCAAGACUGUAAAAAUACGUAACAAACCCAUAUCUUAACUCAAAUUUAUUAAAGUGAUUUAUAUAUGAAUCACCUUAAAUUUGAAAUGUGGGUCUUAAUGGGUUCCAAACAAAAAACCGCAAGAAUGGUUUUGUCGGCUUAUUUAUAAACCCAAUUUUAACCCAGGAUACUAAAAUUAAAAAACAGGUCUCACAUCUUCACUCCUCUCUUCUCCCUUUUCGAUUACACCGAUCACAACUCGUCAAUCUUCGUACUUGGUGAGCAUUCUCCCUCGUCUUUGAUCCUCAAUGAUCAAUGUUACCACCGCCCCCACCGCUGACGUUGGAGGAGCUCAUGUAGCUUGGGCUCUUGUGGCAGCCAUAUUCAUCGUCCUUGUCGCUGCCAAUUUCACCACCACUCAGCAAAGCGCAAGCAGCCAUGUACACCAAUUCUUCAUUAACAGGAAGAGAAACAAAGAUGAAGGCAAAGUUGAGGGUGUGAGCGAAGACCUUGCAGCAGGCGUAACACGUGUAUUGGAAAUUGUGAUCCAUUUUCCCUAAAAUUAUCUAGAAACUACUGACUUAAUCAUGAAGGCAAGAAUUGCUAGCUGAACCUAGAAGAUUCACGUGGGAAUGCAAGUAAGCAGAAGCCAAGUUGAAGAAGAAAUCCUAGAAUAAGCUAGAGAAGUCUACGAGCAUGGGAAACACGUGAAGAAGCCACAAGCUGAUCAAGAAAAGGGGGGCACACAUUAUAAAAUAUUAUAUAUAGGAGCUUCAAGAAGCAGAAAAGCAACCUUCAACUUGCUAACUUGAACGUGAAGGAAAAGUUGCAGCCCACUAUCGUUGACUCUUAACCAUGAAGAAAGAAGGAUCAAGAGUACGUGGGCAGCAAGAGUGCUUGGAGAAGAAGAAAAUUAGUUGUCUUACAGCUAAAUUAUGGUGGUCACUAAGUCGGUUGUAAUUUCCUAUAAAUAGGUGUCACGUCCUGAUCCUCGGGCACACACUCAUUCCUCACCUUGGUCGAUUUUAUAGUGACGUCCCAUGACGCAUUGCCGAACUUUUAAUUUUAAUACGCAUGCGGAAGCAUAUAAACAUAUCCCCAGAUAAUAAAACAAUGGGAUAGAAAAGUAGGACCCCAAAUUUUCACACUUUAAAAGCAACCACACUUAUAUACAUUGCAAAUCAUAGUGCAAAUAUAUACAAGGCGAACUGUUAAGUUAGGUUAUAAACCACCGGUUCAUAAAACAAAGCCUGCAGAAAGGAAUCAACUUCCAUCAAAAGAGAAUUGCCCUAUGACUAACUAGUCAAACAGGAUUGUCAAUUCUUUAGGCUUCACCUUCUACUCUUUAGGCCUCUGGUCCUUCACCAAUGCCAUCUAAGGAUCUGAAAAUGGUUAUACAGUAACUAGUGAGACAAUGUCUCAGCGAGUUCCACCCCUUAAGAAUUGAUUAGGAAGCCAAUACACCUUAGGGCUGCCUAAGCAUAACACGAGUUAGAUGACUUACCUUAGCCUCAGUCCCUUCCUGCAAGUCAAUUCAAUUCAUAAAUACUGACAGACAUAACACUCAAUCAAUUCAAAUCGACUCAUCGAUCAAUCGACCUAGUCGAUUACAUGUCAUCACGACUAUCUCUUGGUCGGUACAUUCAAUACUAUCAUAAAGUCCGACCAUAGUCUAGGACUGCUCACCCAAAACUGAAAAUAGAUAGUAUAGCUCGCCCAAAACUAAUAAUAUAGUAUAUUGUAUAUAUGCUCACCUAAAGUUGAUUGAUUAGGGCCCUUAGGCCAUCAGAGUAUACUAUAUAUGCUCGCCCAAAACAUAUAAUAAGGUAUACUGCUCACUCAAAGCUGACAUAUUACCUGUAAGCUGAUAUAAUAUACAGAUAUACUGCUCGCCCAAAGCUGACAUAUCACUCAUAAGUUGAUAUAGUAUACCACUCCAACCAUAUGGUCAAUUUCUCAUUUUUAUUAUAACCGAUAAAAAUAGUCAUGUGUGAGUACACGGUCGAUCUUAGCCAAAAUAUAAUAAUUUCACCUUCCGCAAUUCCCACAAUUUUCAACAGCCCAUUACAUAUUUUUGGCGCUAUAAACCGACGCACGGUUAAUUUCCAAUCAAUUAUCAAAAUUGAUUAAUUUAGGAAUAAAAUUCUAAAAUCAGAAUUAAAUCAAUUCAGCACGAUUUAGUACUCAAAUAAAUAAACAGACUACACCACGAUAAUCGGCAUAAAAUUCUGGUCGUCGACUAUCCAAGCCUAAUUAGCGAAAAAUAAUUAAUUAAUUAAAUAAUUAUGGAAAAUAUUCAAUAAAUACAAUAAAUCCAAUUUAGGCCUGUAAUGCCUAAUUGGACGCUGAAAUGGACCCAUAAAAUUUUCGAGAUUCGUUCAAUAAAUACUAGGACCUAUUUCCUUGCUAACUACACUAACCAUUUGCCUAACAUGCAUUGAUAUGUCUCUAAUUCAAUUACUUUAAUCUAAUCUAUCCACCUAAUUGUACUUAAUUAAAUAUAUCAAUCCCUAAGCAUCAUUAGCCUACUAAGUGAGGAUUAGUGAGCAAACCUCACUUGAUUAACGAAUGGGUCGGAUCAAACCAACGGGAACGUCGAGGGGCUCACUUUUCUCCAAAACGGGCCUAGGUUUCGAGGCCCGGAAACACCUCAAAAUGGGCCUGGAACAGUGCUGGAAACCCACUUUCUUAUCCUCUGUUUGCUGUUGGUUGAUGUUGCUCCGGUGGCUAAAAUGGUGAGGCACGGUUGGCGGAGGCAGCGAGGGUUAGGUUCGGGUCCGGCGGUGCUGAAUGGCAAUGCAGGGAGCUCUAGUGGUGGCCUGAGCUGCUCGGCGAAGCUGCUGGAAUGGCGUGAGGGAAACAGAGCAGUAGCGGAACGACGGCGAGGCAAUGUGGGGCGAGGACGGCGUGCGAUGGUCGCAGCGUGAAGGGGCGGCUGCUUCCAGUGGCUUGCUAGCUUUUCUGCUAGUUUGUGGGUUCGAACAAAGCAAGGAGAGAGAGUGAAGUGGGGUCGAUAGCAACUAGGGGGAGAGAAAGGGAAGGGAUAAGGGGGUGGGCCACCAUGGCCACCAGCUGCUCCUUGGUUGUCAAUGAGCCACCAAAGCACUUCUCAUAACCUCUGAAACGGUCCAAAACCAUAGGGGAUGGAGGGGCGUACAAAUUUGCAUGGUUUCUCCUCAAAUUGGUCGCUUACUGAUUCUCAAUUCAACUCAAUUCGGUCUCAAUAAAUCCCGUUGUCGAGUCCUUGAUCUAAUCGAUAUUUUUCCUUGUGAAUAGAUCCAUCUUGUAUCUCAAUUUCGCGAUAAAAAACAUUCCCAGCCUUUUUCUUAACAAAAACGGCCUUAUGCCGACUUUUUCCCAAAGAGUCUCAGGUUGUGGGGAAAUUUUCUGAGACUGAGUGACAUUCUUAGAAUUUAUUGUGACAUGAUAGAAUCUUCAAUUUCUGAAAUCCGACCCAAAUUCGCCGUUAAUUUCACUCUGCACAUUUUUAGCGUGACCUAGGCUACCGGGUAGUUUUCAGAAAUUUUUAGUGCAAAUGACCCGUGAUCGAUUUUCUUCGAGCUACAAUGAAUCCACUCGACACAUUGGCGACUCUCGGUUGUCGUGAAAAUCUCGAGGAUUCAAAUAUAGACACAGGGUACCAAAAUGAUAGAUAAAUCAAUCUAGUGCCCGUCGAUGAGAAUUUUCCAAUUUAGUGGUGUCACCCAUGAUUAGCCACACAUCUUAGUCGAAUAGACAUAUCUCUGAUUUCAAAUCGAUUUUAUACUGUGCCGUAAUGGCCUCUAAAGAUGAGCACGGUCAAGAAGUCAAUUCCUGGUCGAAUUCUCAAGUCUAUUACCUUAAAGUUCCUUAAUGGCUUCCCUGAAUAGUCUAGUUAUCUCGAGAGUGAUCAACUUUGAGAACAGCCCUAUAGGCACGUUGAUGAAAUGCCUAAUUUAUUCAAUAGAAAACAUGAAUGAAAAUCUGGGAUGUCACAAUAGGCAUGUAGUUCAACAUUUGAGGUGGGAGAGGUGAAACCUCCACCUUGUGUGUGACAUCCAGAUUUUUCAGUCCUAUUUCUUACUAAAUAAAUUGGGCAUUUCAUUAUAGGGUUAUUCUCAGAGCCGAUUACUCUCAAGAUAACUAGACUACUUGGGGAAAUUAUUAAGAAAUUUUAAGGCAAUAGACUUAAGGAUUUGACCAGGAAUUGGCUGCUCGACCGUGUCUAUCUUUAGAGGCCAUUACGGCACAGUUAAAAAUCGAUAUGAAAUCAGAGAUAGACUGGUUCAACAGAGAUGUGUGGCUAAUCAUGGGUGACACCACUAAAUUAAAAAAUUCUCGUCGGCCGGCACUAGAUUGAUUUUUUUAUUGUUUUAGUACCAUGUGUCCGUAUUUGAAUUCUCAAGAUUUUCACGACAACCGAGAGUUGCUAAUGAGUUGAGUGGAUUCAUUGUGGCUCGAAGAAAAUCAACCAUGGGUCAUUUGCCCUUAAAAAUUUCUAAAAGUUACCUGAUAUUAUAGGUCACACUAAAAACGCGUCAAGUGGAAAUUAACCGUGAAUUCAAGUCCGAUUUCGGAAAUUGAAGUUUCUGUCAUGUCACAAUAAAUUCUAGGAGUAUUGACUCAGUCUCAGAAGAUUUUUCUGACACGCGACACUUUUGAAAAAAAGUCGUUGCCGGGUCAUUUUUGUGCGGAAAAUGCCGAAGAUGGUUGUUGAUGGCAAAAUUGAGAUGCAUGAUGGAUUCUUGAGUGAGGAAAAAUGCAGAGAUGAUCAAUCAGCCUAAGGGCGAUAUGGCAGCUUAGCAGAGAGCAGUGUACCGAAUCGUCUCAAAAGCGAGCUAUACUAUCUAUUUAUCAGCUUAGCAGUGACCAGUUUUGAUAUGAACAUACUUAUAGAUAGUAUGAGAUGAGCCGACCAAGAAAGAGUCGAGAUGACAUGUAAUCGACUAGGUCGAUUGAUCAUUGCUUUGAUCUGAUGUCGUGAAUUGAUUGAUUGAAUUGAAAUGACCGAUGAAUGGUCCGAUUGACAUGAAAUCGACUAGGCCGAUUGAUCGAGAUAUCGAUCUGUGAUGUGAUUGCUUGGGUGCCUAUUGAGCUGUGCUAAUAUGCAGGUGGAAUCUGAGACUAAGGUAAGUCCUCUGACCCGUGCAUGUAUAAGCAGCCCGGUUAGCAUAUUAGUUUACUAAUCGAGUCUUAGAGGGGUAGAACUUGCUGAGACGUGCUCUCAAUGGUUAUUGUAUAACCAUUUCAAGACCCUGAUGAGGAGCCUGAGGAGGAGGAACCUAAGGAGGAGAACCCUGAUGUGAAAUCUGAGGAGAAGGAAGAUUGAGAAGAAGAAGAUGAUCCAGAGGAGGAUCCUGAGUACGACUCGGAUGAGGACUGAGAUCCCAUCCUGUUUUGUCAGACCUUGAUUAUAUGUGGAUAAGUGUUAGAUUAGACCCCUGUGAAUAGUAUUGUAUUAUAUACUAUCAGGUGCUUGUGUAAAAGUGUGGUUGUGAAUUUCAGUAUGAAAAUUAUGGCCUUGCUUUUCUAUCCCAUUGUUUUAUUGUCUGGGGAUUUAUAAUUGCUUUCGCAUGUGCUAUCGAAAAUGAAAGGGUCGGUGAUACAUAGUUCUGGGAUAUCGCAUUCUAAAAUCGACCAAGGUAAGGGAUGUGUGUGUACCUGAGGAUCGGAGCGUGACAUCCCCUUUUUUUGUGGUAUCAAAGCGAAGUUUAGAAAUUGGAGUGAUAAGGUGCGAUGACCAUGGGAUAGAUGGUAGGAAAGACCUUUAAAUUUGCAACUGGUGCAUGUCUAUGAUAGCUAAGUGCUAGAAUUGUUUGUUGUGUGUUGAUCGCUCAUCUUCUAAUCCAGUGUGGAUUUGGAAGACAGGUUUCAGUGUAAAGGUUGAAUCAUGAGCAAGCAGGAGCUAAGGACUCCUAGUAAGAGGGUUGUAACCUCCGUGACUCGGGGUGGAACACCGACAAGGAUCGGUGCCCGAGGCAGUUGUGGUAGAGCAUUGGCUCAGACCAAUGCGAGUGUAGAAGUACCACCGUAGGCCAGUACUAGUGUAGCAGCACCAAGUGAUGCUAGGUUUGACUGGAUCGUUCGAGUGCUAGUGUUCCUUGGGAACUUGUUGAGUUAGUAAGCUCAGGAUCAAGCCGCCGUUGUUGUUGCUGUUACUACUGCCGCCAGUGCUGUCAUCACUGUCGUUACCGCACCUACUGAGGUCUAGCAUAGAGAUGUGAUCUGUGAGUGAACUGUUACAUCUGAGUCAAGAUUCAGUUCAAGCAUAAAUGGAAAUUGGUCAGGGAAAGGAUCGAUGUCGAGAGAAGAGUAUUCUAUUCCGCAUAAUAGGAAGGGUGGGGCAGUCAGGUCAGCACCGAGUCAAAUGGAUCAUGUUGUUUCCGGGCAUGAUGGCGGAGAUCGAUCUUAUGUCCUUCCUAGGACAAGAAAUUGUUCGGAGUGUAGCCGAUAGGGAUAUCUGGUCAGGAGUGGUCCUAGCAGAUUGAUGGGAUAACUAGAAAGAGUGUGUGCUGUCACUUGACAGGAGAUAGGAGACUCACCAGAUGGGUGCCAAAAGUAUGGAAGGAAGCGUAGAUAAAUCCAGUGUCUGGGUAUGGCUAGAACAUGCUGUGAUGAUGACCAGCAUGGCCAUCAGGUGAGGGACUGUUAAUGAAAGUCUAAGGUAGCAUAGACACUGCUACUACAGCUAGGACGCCACUAGAAUGGCGAAAGGGACAGGAACGAAACCGACUCUACACCAAUCAAAGUAAGAAUGUUCUUGGACUGCGUAGCGCAGCAGAGCCUUGGACUGCAUUUAUAGAAUUUCAAUUAGUUGAAAUAAAGUGGAAAAAAGGGGAAACGCUAACUAUAGUCGGGUUUGACUAGUUGCCGAGAAAUAAUUGGGACGCCACAUGAGUAGAAGGGGCUCAUGGAGCAUCUUGUGGUAAUGAAUUAUGUUCAUGGAGUAAUCCAGCUUAGUCCAAUAGCAUGUGAAAGUGUCGAGGUUAUUGGGAGUCGAAAAGAAUCUUGCUUUUAUUAAUCUCGUUGGUUGAAGACAACCCGUUUGUUAGAUGAAGGUUGCCAAGGUUACUUGGCGAUUAUCAUAGGUAGGACAGAUUCGAGAACUAAAGGUUGAGGACAUCUCAGUAGUCCAAGAAUUUCUAGAUAUGUUGCCAAAAAGGAAUGGUCAGGCUUGUCGUUAGGAAAAAGAGAUAGAACUUAUGAUCAAGUUAACAACGAGAACGAAGCCACUCUCUAAGGCUUCUUACCAGUUGUUGUUGCCUAAAUUGAUAGAACCAAAGAUGCAAAUGUGAGGAUUGAUGAAUGAGAAAUUCAUGUAUAUCAGUGCAUCACUUUAUGGAACAUCAGUUUUGUGGUGAGAGAAAGAAAGAUGGUUCGUUGCAAUUAUGCAUCAACCAUUGUCAACUCAAUUAGGUGACGAGCAAGGACAAGUGUGCAUUGCCGAAGAUCGACUUGAAGUCAAGUUAUCAUCAGUAGAGAACCAGGAGGGAGGUUAUACCAAGGAUAGUGUUUCGUACUCGAUAUGGCCCUUGUUAGUGCAAUGUAAUGCCAUUGGGUCUGAUGAGCAUUCUAACUGUUGUCAUGGAUUUGACAAAUCGAGUGUUCAAAGAAUGUCUAGAUUAGUUGUGAUCGUGUUGUGUAAUGAUAUUCCGGUGUAUUCGAGGAAUGCUAAGUAGCUCAAGAGAUGUUUGAGAAUGGUGAAGGAAUCUCCAUGAAACCGGUCAAGAUCGAAUCAGUUAUCAGUGGACCAAGACUGACAGCAGUAUCAGAGAUCAGAAACCGUUUGAGUUGGACAAGUCACUAUAGGAGGUUUGUGGAAGAAAUCUCACCAUCAGUGUCACCAUUAGCUCGACUCCUGAAGAAAGGAGAGAAGUUCAUAUGGACAGACAAGUGUGAGGAUAAUUCCCAAGAGCUUAAGUAGAAGUUGACUACCGCACUUGCGUUGACCAUUUCUUAUGGUUCGAGAGGGUGCGAAAUUUAUAGUGACGAGUCGCUUAGAGGAUUGGGUUGUGUGUUGAUGUAACAUGGUAGAGUGUUACAUAUGCGUCCCAUCAGUUGAUACCCCAUGAGUUGAGCUACCUGGCGUGUAACUUGGAACUCGCAGCAUUAAUUUUCGUACUGAAGGCUUGGAGAUGUUAAUUGUGUGAAGAAAGAUUAUGGAUCUUCACUGACCAACAAAGUCUCAAGUAUUUAUUCUCUCAGAAUGAAUUGAACAUGAGAUAACGCUGUGAAUAAGAACUUUUGAAGGAUAAGAGGGUAGUAUCUGGUGUCACCUUAGAAGGAUGAAAGAAGUCACUGAUGUGUUGAGUCGAGAGUCUUCAUUUGUGCAUAUGCUAGUUAAAGUAUGGACCUUACUUGAGAAAGUCGAAAUUUGGUUUUUAAAUUUUAGGUGGGCCACCUUUGAAUUUUAUGGCUGCCCUCAAAAUUGAACCGGAUACUCAAGUUGGAGUUAGACGCUUCAGUUGACUGACUGGGAGGUUCAGAAGGUCCUGUGAAAGGAUAUGGAUAAGAGAGGGGCUAGCCUUCAAAAAUCUAAGGAUUGAAUACUUAAGUUCCGAGAGAGAUUGAGUGUACCUGACGAGGUAGCACUCAGGGAAGAGAUGUGGUCAGGAAUUCACAGUAGCAAUUGCAUUAUUCGACAUACAGUGCAAGGUAAGUCAGCAUCAAUGUCAGCUCGAAUGGUAGACCGAUGUGAAGAUAGUUAUCGUCGGACAUGUUACAAGUGUCAGAUGUGCUAAUAAGUGAAAGUUCAGUAAUGCAAGCUAAGAGGACAUUUAUAAUCACUCGAGAGUUCCGAGUGGGAAUGAAAGUAUAUCAUGAUAGAAUGUUGUGACAGGCUUACUAAGGAGUCGGGAAAUACCAAUUCCAUUUGGAGUUGUGGUCAAUAGAUGGAUGGAGCCAACUCACUUCAGUACAGUACGAAAAGAACACGAUUUGAAUGGGCGUGUAUGUAUCAGAUAAUUCAUCUGCAUAGAAUGCUAGGGAAGGAUUAUAUGUCAGAUCUAGAUAAGAGGUUUUCAGUUUUGGCAGAACUUUUAGAUGGUUCCUAUUGAAGCUUACAUAGCAGUGUGUGCAGAAUUUCAGUGGUGAGAAGAAAGAGAAGUGAAGAAAAUCACAGGCCAGGGUCAGCUUAGUAAUCAGUGAUUGCAAUUGCCGUGAUUAGUGUUAGAGUAAAGACCACACGGAAUCGCCAUAAAAGUCGAAUCGUUGAGUAAUGAAGGCCCUUAAAGUUCCGAAUUGGUGUUGCAUCUUUUUGAAGGUGUCACCAAUGAGGAAUACCUUGCACUUCAGCAAUGAGGGAAAGCUGAGACUGAGGUAUGUAAGUUCCUUAGGGAUUCUAAAGAAAGAAUCAAGAUCCUAACGUAUCGUCUUGCAUUGUCGCCAAAGUAGGCAUAAGUGCAUGACGUCUUUCACGUGUCGAUGUCGAGGACAUAUGAGCCUGACUUGACCCGCGUGCUAAAUCUUAAAGUAUUAGGUGUGGACGAUAAAAUGUUGUACGUGGGAAGCCGGUUCAGUUGUUGGUUCAAAAGAAGCAGAUUCUGUGUACCAAGAUGGUCUCCUUGGUCAAAGUGGUCUGACAACACCACGAGACCGAAGAAACAGCAUGGAAAAAUGAGACUCGAUGAGACGAUAGCACCCCCACCCUUUUGUUUAAGGAUUGGUAAAUGUUUAAAUUUCGAGGAUGAAAUUUUUAUAAGAGGGGAAGAGUUAUGACAUCCAGAUUUUUCAGUCCUAUUUCCUACUAAAUAAAUCGGGCAUUUCAUUGACAUCCCUAUAGGGUUAUUCUCAGAGCUGAUCACUCUCGAGAUAAUUAGACUACCUGGGGAAAUUAUUAAGGAAUUUUAAGGCAAUUGAUUUGAGGAUUUGACCAGGAAUCGGUUACUCGACCGUGUCCAUCUUUAGAGGCCAUUACAGCACAGUUAAAAAUCGAUAUGAAAUCAGAGAUAGACUGGUUCGACAGAGAUGUGUGGCUAAUCAUGGGUCAUACCACUAAAUUAGAAAAUUCUCGUCGGCCGGCACUAGACGAUUUUCUUAUUGUUUUAGUACCCUGUGUCUGUAUUUGAAUCCUUGAUAUUUUCACGACAACUGAGAGUCGCCAAUGAGUCGAGUGGGUUCAUUGUGGCUCGAAGAAAAUCGACCACAGGUCAUUUGCCCUUAAAAAUUUCUAAAAGUUACCCGGUAUUAUAGGUCACGUUAAAAACGCGCCAAGUGGAAAUUAACCACAAAUUCAAGUCCAAUUUCGGAAAUUGAAGUUUCUGUCAUGUCACCAUAAAUUCUAGGAGUAUCGACUCAGUCUCAGAAGAUUUUUCUGACACCCAACACUUUUGGGAAAAAGUCGUCGCCGGGUCGUUUUUGUGUGGAAAAUGCCGAAGAUGGUUGUUGAUGGCAAAAUUGAGAUGCAUGAUGGAUUCUUGAGUGAGGAAAAAUGCAGAGAUGAUCAAUGGGUAAUCAAUUGAAUUUAUUUAGGUCAUUUGGGAUUAAUUCAAGAGAGAAUUUAAGUCCAAUUGAAGCCAAUUAUUAUGAAAUUCGUGUGCCCCCAUUCCUUAUGGUCUUCGGACCAUUUCAAGAGGUUGUGAGAAGUGCAAGUGUGGUUCAAUGUGAGCCAAGGAUAUAUGCUUGGCCAAGAAUGAAAGCUUGAAGACGAAGUUUGGAAAAUAAGGCCAUAUGGACCCCAUACCCCCUCAUCUCUAUCCUCUCUCUCUUCCUAUCUCGUUGACCGGCCAAGAUUUCUCUCUCCCCUCCAUUUCGCACGCCCACAUCAAUCAAGAAGCCAGCGGACAUAGAAGUAGCCAGCAACGCCAGGACUACCUCAUGCUUGCUGCUUCCUCCUUGCUAAUUCUCCACCGAGCAACUGCUACUUCUCCACGCUGCCACUUGGUCGCGUCUACACUUUGUUCGGUCAACUCCACCAUUUCGCUUCUCUGCAAACAAAGACCGAUGCCUCUCUGCCCCUCCAUGUUUUCACUUUUUUCCCACCGAGUCUUCUGGCCAACCUCACCAAUUGCUGCCAGCAUCCCUGCUUCUGCCAGCACGCUUCCAUCGGCGAAUUCUCUACCGAAACAGCUGUCCUUAGCCCACCGAAACACCAUCCAAGUUGCCACGUCCACGUCUUCUCCUUGCGUGGUCUUCUCCAGCCAGAUUGUUGACCGAAGCAGCUCCUUAGUCUCGCGUCUCACCAAACCAGUGAAGUCACCAGCAGAAGCCACGUCUUUCACCAAGGCUUUUGUUGACCGAAGCUCACGUGGCCUCACGCUGGAAUUCCACCGAGCUGCCAUUCCCUUCGGUCUUCAACGCCAGCCGCACGAAGCAUUUCCACUGGCCGAAGCUGCUGCUCGAUUUCUUCAUUCCAGCGUCGUGAGCCCAUCUCCAUUGAGUCAAGCUUUAGCCCGCGUGAUUUCCAACCCACAGUUGGUUAGGAUCAGCUCAGCCCAUAUGAGUUUCAGUUAGGCCUAGCUGCUCUUUCGGGCUUUCUUGGUCAACCCAUGAAAUGCAGCAGCCCAUCUUCACACGUCAGGCCCAUUUGAAGCCCAAGAAGUUUCAGCAGCUCAGCCCGCGAAGCUAGUCGGCCCAAAUUCGGCCUAAGCCAGGCUUUUUCUAUGGGCUUGCAAGGCCUUUGGGCCCGGUCCGUGUGCUCUUCGGCGCCACCGAAAAGUUGGAAUUCGGCCGCCGUCGCGCUGUCGUUGCAGUGAUCCGGUCUCUGCUUUUAAUCAAGUGAGUUUUACUCACUAAUGCUUUCUUAGUUUGCUAAUUAUGCUUAAGGGUUGAUUAAAUUUAAUUAAGUGCAAUUAGGUGGUUAGAUUAGAGUGGAUUAGUGAUUAUUAGAUAAUUGUGAUGUAUGUUAGGCAAUUGAAUUGUGCAUUUAGCAAGUAGAGAUGUACUAUUAUUUAUUGAAUGCAUCUCGGGAUUUUUCCCGAUCCGUGUUGGCGUUCAAUUAGGCAUUACGGGCCUAAAUUGGAUUUUUAGUAUUUAAUUAUUAGUUUUCAAAAUUAAUUUAAUUAAUUAUUUAUUUUCUGGAAAUUAGACAGGGAUAGCCGACGAUCGGAAUUUUAUGCUGAUUGUCGUGGUGCAGUCUGUUUAUUUAAUUGAGCUUUAUUUCAUGUUGAAUUGAAUUAUUUGUGAAAGUGGGAAUUAUUCUUUAAUUGGAUAAUCGUUAGUUAUUAAUUGAAAAAUAAUCGGGCAUCAGUUGAUAAUGCCAAAAAUAUUUGAGUGUACAGAAAAUGUUGGAGUUAUGGAAAGGAAAAUAUUAUAUUUUGGCUAAGGCUUGUGUGCCCACGCACGAUAUUUUAUCGAGUAUGAUAAAAAGAUGGAAUUGGUUGUAUGAUUGGGAUGGUAUACUGUAUCAACCUAUGGGCGAUAUGUCAAUUUAGCAUAGAGUAGUAUAUCGGUAUACUAUAUCAGCCUACGGGUGAUAUGUCAGCUUAGUAGAGAGCAAUAUAUCUUAAUUUUGACUGAAUAUGUCGGUAUACUAUAUUAAUCUACGGGCUCUGAUAUGACAACUUAGCAAAGAACAGUAUACCUUGUCAGCUUAGAUUGAGCACUGUCGAUAUACUAUAUCAACCUAAGGGCGAUAUGGCAGCUUAGUAGAGAGCAAUAUACCUGAUCGUCUCAGAAGCGAGCUAUACUAUCUAUUUAUCAGUUUAACAAUAAGUAGUCCUGAUAUGAACGGACUUGUAGAUAGUAUGAGAUGAGCCGACCAAGAAAGGGUCGAGAUGACAUGCAAUCGACUAGGUCGAUUGAUCAUUGCUUUGAUCUGAUGUCGUGAAUUGAUUGAUUGAAUUGAAAUGACCGAUGAAUGGUCCGAUUGACAUGAAAUUGACUAGGUUGAUUGAUCGAGAUAUCGAUCUGUGAUGUGAUUGCUUGGGUGCCUAUUGAGCUAUGCUAAUAUGCAGGUGGAAUCUAAGGCCAAGGUAAGUCCUCUGACCCGUGCGUGUAUAAGCAGCCCGGUUAGUGUAUUAGUUUACUAAUCAAGUCUUAGGGGGGUAGAACUUGUUGAGACGUGGUCUCAAUGGCUAUUGUAUAACCAUUGCAGGACCCUGAUGAGGAGCCUAAGGAGGAGGAACCUGAGGAGGAGAACCCUGAUGUGAAAUCUGAGGAGAAGGAAGAUUAACAAAAAGAAAAUGAUCCAGCGGAGGAUCCUGAGUACGACUCAGAUGAGGACUGAGAUCCCAUCCUGUUUUGUCAGACCUUGAUUAUAUGUGGAUAAGUGUUAGAUUAUACCCCUGUGAAUAGUAUUGUAUUAUAUACUAUGAGGUGCUUGUAUAAAAGUGUGGUUGUGAAUUUCAGUAUGAAAAUUAUGGCACUGCUUUUCUAUUCCAUUAUUUUAUUGUCUGGGGAUUUAUAACUACUUCCGCAUGUGCUAUCAAAAAUGAAAAGGUCGGCGAUACAUAAUCCUGAGAUAUCGCAUUCUAAAAUAGACCAAGGUAAGGGAUGUGUACAUGCCUGAGGAUCAGGGCGUGACAUUGUGUGUAGGGGUGAACCCUCCACCGUAAGAGGUCUUAGACCUCCAUCAUGACCAUAUGGAGAGUGACUACCAACACCUCCAUCAAACUACUUUGUUCAACUAAUGAAACUAUUUUCCCCCAUAUCCAUGUUCUUUAUUCUUGAACUAUCCUAUCUUGUCCCUUGUCCAUCCACUACAAAUUAUACCAUACACUUACACACAUCACUAACCAAAAACUAUCAUAAAUACCAAAACUAUGCUUCCGCAUGUACUGUGACAUCCCAAAUUUUCAAUCAUGUCUUCUACUGAAUAAAUUGGGCAUUUCAUUGACGCGCCUAUAAGGUUGUUCUCAGAGCUAAUCACUCUCGAGAUAACUAGACUACUCAGGGAAGCUAUUAAGAAAUUUUAAGGCAAUAGACUUGAGAAUUCGAUCAAAAACCCACUUCUUGACCGUGCUUAUCUUUAGAGGCCAUUACAACACAGUUAAAAAUUGAAUUGAAAUCAGAGAUAGAACGGUUCGACUGAGAGGUGUGAUCGAUCGUGGGUGACUUCACAAAAUUGGGAAAUUCUCAUCGACUGACGCUAAUUUGAUUUUACUAUCGUUUUGGUACCCUGUGUCCGUAUUUGGAUCCUCGAGAUUUUCACGACAAUCGAGAAUGGCCAAUGUGUCGAGUGGGUUCAUUGUGGCUCGAAGAAAAUCGACCACGGGUCAUUUGCCCUAAAAAGUUUUGAAAACUAUCCGAUAGUCUAGGUUACACUAAAAACACGCCGAAUGGAAAUUAACUGCCAAUUCAAGUCCGAUUUUAGAAAUUGAAGAUUCUGUUGUGUCAUAAUAAAUUCUAGGAGUAUCGACUCAUUCUCAGAAGAUUUUUCUAACAACCGAGACUUUUUGGGAAAAAGUCGGUUUAGGACCGUUUUCGUUCAAUUAAGGUCGGGGAUUAUUUUGGUUGCAAAAUUGAGAUGCAAGAUGGAUAUAUGGGUAAUGAAAAAUGCUGAGAUGGUCGAUGGAUGACCAAUUGAAUUUAUUGAAGCCAAUUGAGAUUUAAUCAAGUGAGAUUUUGUGGCCAAUUAGAGGAGAACUCAAGCAAUUUCGUAGCUCCCCCUCUCCCUAGCACUUUGGACCAUUUCAUAUGUUGUAAAAGAGAGUUUUGAUGGCUCAAUUUCAGCCAAGGAAAGCUGGCUUCUUGGACAAGUUGUGGGAGACAACUUGGUGGAAAAGCAAGGCCAAAGGGCCCUUCCAUUCCCCUCAUCUCUAUCCUCUCUCUCUUCCCUCUUGCUUAGCCACCGUCCAAGACCCUUUCUCUCCCUCCAUUUUGUGCGACCAGCAGCCAAGUAGACCAGAGAAGCUACCGAAGGCCAGCUACUGCUUCAACGCUUUCCUUUUUCGCCUCACACCUCCCACCGAGCGAAGCCCCCAUUGAAGAAGUUGCCACACGUCCGCAGUUUGCCUCCCUUCGGUCAGCAUCCAGCAACGAAGACCGCCCCUCCUCGGUUCUGCUCCUUCACCGAAGCCACGCGGCCAUCUCCACCAUCACCCUCCAUCUUCACGCGCAUCUCUCUCUCCACCAAGCGUUCCUCAUGCUGCCAGCACGCCAGUCAACACAGCAGAACGUUGUUGACUCCUUGGAGCCCACAACCCAUCGAGAAGCUCAGCAUCCACCGAAGUUGCAGCAGCUUCGUGUCUUCUCUACGCUUGGUCAACAACAAGCCCUCCAAAACUCCUUGGUUAACCGAGCAGCUCUACCUCGCUGCCACUUGGUCGAUGAGCCAACAAAUGAGGCCCUCUCCUCCUGCGUCCAGCACCAACGAUCGAGGCAACUGCCUCUUUGUCCGCAUCUUCUCAUGCCAGCAGCUUGGCCAAAGCAAAUCCAGUUUGCGUGGCCAUCUCCAACUCAAUUCAAGUUCGCCUCAGCUUAGGAAAAUUCGGCCUAUUGAAGCCCACGAAUUCACCUCAGCAGUCUUCAGCUCAACAUGCAGCCCAACAGUCCACUUUCAGUCCUCCAACCAAGCCCAGAAUUGAAGCCCAUCCUCGGCCCAAUUCCAGCUCACUUGAGGCCCGCGCAGUCAAGCCUAGUUAUGAGCCCAAGCCCGCGAAGCAAGCCCAGUCCAAUGCAAUAACAAAUCUCAGUUUGGACUAAAAUUUGUUGGGCCAAGUUUAAGGCCCAAGUCCAACCCCGUUGGUGUCAUCGCAAGCCCAAAUUUGGCCGCUGUCACGUCACCGUCGCGGUGUUCCGGUCUUCACUUUGCUCAAGUGAGUUUUGCUCACUAAUCCCUUAUUAGUAUGCUAAUGAUGCUUAAAGGUUGAUUAGAUUUAAUUAAGUGUAAUUAGGUGGAUAUAUUAGAUUCGAAUAAUUAAAUUAGGGAUUUACCUAUGCAUGUUAGGCAAAUGGUUAGUGUAAUUAGCAAGUAGACAUGCUCUAUUAUUUAUUGAACGAGUCUCGGUAAUUUUCUAGGCUCGUAUCGACUUCCAAUUAGGCAUUUUGGGCCUAAAUUGGAUUUAUUAUAUUUAUUUAAUGAUUUUCGAAAUUAAUUAAUUAAUUAAUUAAUUAUUUUCCGAAAAUUAGACCGGGAUGGUCGACGACCGGAAUUUUAUGCUGAUUGUCGUGGUGCAGUCCGUUUAUUUAAUUGAGCUUUAUUUUGUGCUGAAAUGAAUUAUUUGUGAUUAUAAGAUUAUUUUCCUAAAUUAAUUAAUUUGGAUAAUUAAUUGAAAAAUAACCGAGUGUCGGUUGACAGCACCAAAAAUUUUUUGGUGGACUACAGAUAAGGGUGGGAUUUGUGGAAAUGAAAUUAUAAUAUUUUGGCUAAAGCUAAUCGUGUGCCUACGCACGUAUACUUUUGUCAGAAAUGAAUAAAAGGAUAAAUUGAUUGUACGUUCAAAGUAUCAUGUUAUACAAUACCGGCUCGGUGACACUAUAUGUCAUUUUGUAGAAUGGACGGUAUGCAAUACCGACUCGGUGACACUAUAUGUCAUUUUGUAAAAUGGACGGUAUGCACUACCGGCUCGGUGACCCUAUAGGUCAUUUUGUAGAAUGGACGACAUGCCAUAACGGCUCGGUGACUCAACAUGUCAUUUUGCAGAAUGUACGUUAUGAUGAAUAUACUUGAUGACUUAUAAUGUCAUUUCAAAGAAUGGAUCAUUUAAAAUACUGGCUCGAUAACCCAAUAAGUUAUUUCGAAGAAUGGACAGUAUUGAUUGAAAUGACCAAGGGUGGUCUGUUUGACAUGUAAUCGACUAGAUCGAUUGAUCGAUGUUUCGAUUUGUUGUGAUUGUUUGGGUGCUUAUUGACUGUACUGAUUUGCAGGUGGAAUCUGAGGCUAAGGUAAGUCCUCCGACCCGUGUGUGCUUAGGCAGCUCAUAAUGUAUUGAUUUACUAAUUAGGUCUUAGGGGAUAGAACUUGCUGAGACAUUGUCUCACUAGUUAUUGAAUAACCAUUUUCAGGUCCUUAGAUGGCAUUGGUGAAGGACUGGAGACCCAAAGUGUGGAAGGGGAAGCCUGAAAAAUUGACGAUCCUAUUGGACUAGCCAGUCAUAGGGCAAUUCUCUUUUGAUAAAAGCCGAUUCCAUUUUGCAGACUCUGUUUUAGAAACUCGUGAUUUAAAGUUGAAUUAACAAUUCGACUUGUAUAUAUUUGCACUAUGAUUGGCAAUGUAUAUAAGUGUGGAUGCUUUUAAGAUGGAAAUUUGAAACCCUACUUUUCUAUCCCAAGUGUUUUAUUGUUUAGGGAUUAUUAUAUGCUUCCGCAUGCAUAUAUUAAAAUAAAAAGGUCGGCGAUGCGUCUUGGGACGUCGCUAUUAAUCGACCAGAUAAGGGAUGGGCACGCGUUCGAGAAUCGGGGUGUGACAUGCACAAAUCCAAAACUUUUUAACAACGUGCAUGGAUAGCGAGAGUGCACAUGAAGUGUUUGAUGAAAAGGAAAAGACAACUACUGAAACACAGCUUUAGGAUUCUACUUUUUAUUUUCUCUCUCUAGCUCGCAUAAAGUAUAAUUUGUGCGAAUGGAAAUCCACUCAACUCAAUUUGUUUGAGGGUGGCAAGCCCGAAGAGUCCUAACACGGCUUUCAAGAACCCUUUCUGCGGCAAAUUGAUUGAGGGAUUAAAUUAAUGACGAAGCAAGUCGAAGCUAUGGCCUUUUUAUGGUUCCGAGUUCGUAGAGACCAAGUAAAACAAGAAAAAGGGAGGCCGGAGGCAAGAACAAGUGGAGGUUGAGGCAUGGCUAAAUCCAGCCCAGUAGAGUUGUCAGCGAUUGCUCCAGCAUCCAUAAGGAGGGGCGUCAAUGUUCCCGAACGGUGCAUCUUAACAACCUUUGCAACAAGAUAGAGUCGAUGACUAAUUGGAAGACUUAAUGCUAUGUGAGAAAUGUUAGUGAUAUGAUUACUCCGUAAUGCAUUCAAUAAACUUAAACAUCAGAGCCACUGAUGUUUUUGCCGCUGGUCCACCCUGCUAGAGCUGACUAAAUCUCAUGCCUGUCCCGUGCCACGGCUUAAGGCUCCAUUCGUUUCACGGAAAAUAAUUUCCGAGAAAAUGUUUUUUGGAUUUUUCAGCGUUCGUUUCAUGGAAAAUGAAUUUCUUGGGGAAAAUAUUUUUCAUGAAAGGAAAAAAAUCUUUUAAAUUAUGGGAAAAUGUUUUCCACUUUUGAAAAGUGAAAAAACAUUUUCCUCACUUAAUCUCUCUUAUCUCACAUCACUAUAAAUCCUUACUUCCUCCUCCCCUUUCUUAUUCUUCUUCUCUUUUUUUAUUCGAAUUAUUUUUAAUUUCCUUUAUCUUUUCUAUUUCUUUUUUUUCUUUUUUUUCUUUGUUUCCCAUCUUCUUCUUUCUUGGCUAGUUGUCGGCUGUCGCCAAGCGAACCUCGAGCUCGUCGAUCUCAAGCUCAUGCUCGUCGAUCUGGCAAGCCUCGAGCUCGACGCUCAUGCUCGCCAAUCUAGGGAGCGGCAAGCCUCGUGCUCCUCGAUGAACUCGAGGCUCAUUGGUGGCCGGUCGUGAGCCAUCGCCAUGGCCGGCAACCAACCAAGAAAGAAGGAGAUGGAAAAUAAAGUUAAAUGAAAAAAAAAAUUAAUAAUAGAUUUUAAAAAUUAAAAUUGAUUAAAAAUCAAUUUUUUAAAAUAUGAAACAUCCAUUUAAAAAAAUAAGAUAAAUGAAAAAGAGUAUAUGAAGGAAAAUAUUUUUCUUACUGAACAGCGAAAUAUAUUUUUCACUUCAUUUUCAAGUUUCAUCCCGACAUCGGAAAAUAAUUACAUUUGCCUAUAAAAUGACUUCAUGGAAAAUAUUUUCUAGAAAUGCCACAUUUUAUGCGAAACAAAUGGAACCUAAGUAUCGAAGCUCAAACCUCAAUCAUAUCAAGUAGGGACACUCUUCAGCGGACUAAGCAAAAGACCACAUAGAUUUAUCUCUACCAGCAUCCAACACGAUGAGGAUAACAUAAACGUACUCCCCUCAUUGAGUUCAGUGCCUUUGUAAGCAACACCAAGCUGCGUGAACAAGUACUUGACCCCGUUACGAUAGCCACAAUUACUUUCCGCUCGUGAUUGCUUGUCUGCCAUCCACCCACGACAUCAUCAAGAACUUAAACAGCUCAAAAAUGCCAAUCCAUUGCUUGAAAAUUUAUAAGCGGAGUAUCCCCAACACAAUACUUAGAUAGCUAAAUAAAUAAAUUUUCAAUUUCAAAGUGCUCAUAAUUUUUUUUUCUGUAAGAUAUGCGUAAUCAGUACUCUUAAAAUUAAAAAUUUCCUAAAUAAGGAUACUUAUUUCUGAGUACGGUAGUUAAUAUAAUGCUUUCAAUAGGUAUUCCCAUCUCGGUGAAUAGAAUUUGGGAACCAAAAAAUUUUGAAGUCUUUGUUGCAACGAAGUGAACCAUAAAACAAAAAGCUAAUGGAUGACUAGGCAUAGAAACGUGGACUCUCUGAAAUCCUUGUCAACAACAACUUUUGUAUUUUAAUUUAAUUAACUUAACAUGCAAAUCUGUUUAUUCAGGAGUUGCCACUAAUUUAUUACAAGUCGAUUAGAAAUCCAAGUGUUCUCCACUUUACUUCUGGAAACAAAAAAUAUCAUGGAUACGAAAACUUGGUUACACUAGAUAAAACCAACACCUUUUCAUUCCUUUUCUCUUUGUUAUAAAAAAUAUCUUGCAAGUCAUCUUGGUCAAUUUUAGUCUUAAGCCACGAACAUGUAAUGAGUGAUAGUGUGGGUGCACAAACAAGAAUUUAACAAUCAAUAAUCAAAGCAGUGAAUAAAUUGCUAGAGAUAGAGCAAGAACAUAAAUACCUCAAGCAAGAAAAAGCCCAUUAAAUGCAAUGCAUCGAAUGUUCUGCAAGAUAUUAACUAGAAAAUACAUGCAUGUCCUAAAUAUGAUUUCUACAUGUUGAUAUCUAAUUCUUUUUAUUUUUGGGGGUUUUUUAUUAUUUUUAGAAAAAUUAAACUAUAUGCAAUGCAUGAGAUGUAAUUUUAAUCUAAGAUUAUGUGACCCUAAUUUAACUAAUGACAUAUGACAUGCAAUUUAUAUGCAACCUAAUUCUAAUUAUGAACAAAAAUUAUGAAUUAAUCUAAUAUGACAUGCAAUCUAAUUUAUAUAAGCCUAAACAUGCAAUCACUAAAUGACAUGGCAUUUGAUGAUGAGGCCAUGAUGAAACUACUUCUACAAGAUAUAAGUAUUUUUUUUAAUGAUUUUUCUUUGAAGAUAGAAUAGGAAACUAAUUAAAAUUUGUAAUUACCUAAUUUAAACUAGGAAAUAAAUUUAAAUUAAUCCUAUUCUAAAAUAGGUAACUUACAAAUUAUUACAUGGCUCCUAAAUAUGCAAUUCUGAAUGCAAUAUGCAAUGCAAUUUUUUUAUAAUAGGAAAAUUUACUAAAUUAGCAACAUGCAAUGUAACAAAGUUAUAUAAUUCACAUAUUCACCUCAACCCAAAAGAGGAAACAAAAAUAAUCGAGAAUCCGAUCUUGAGUCUUAAAGAUCAAAUUAUCAAUUAUAUGCAUGAUUCAGUAAGAAAAUUUCCUAUCCAGGGUAUGCCUAAAAUCUCACGCCAAAUCAUGUUAGAAUUGAAUAGCCACAAUUUACCAAUUGAAUAUUUGAAUAAAAAAUAACUUCGCAUAUUAUGUGAGUUGGAUUACUGACUCAAAUGACGACUGCUAGCAAGGGGGUGGUGAGGAUAACCAGCGAGGAACAGUGAGAGGUGGGCAAAACAACGACAAGGACUGUUAAUAUCACAAGGGCAAGGGGAUCUCUAGAUCUUUGAUGCUUGAUUCAUUUGGUGAAAUUGAAGAACUAGGUAUCGUGGAGGUCUCCUCAAAAUUUCAUUGCAUUCCAACCUAGAACAAACACAUACUUACCGUUUUCUCGGGACUGCGUGUUGAGCUCUCCAGUCUUGAUCCAAGUCUGACCAGUUCAGUUUUAUCCUUCAAAGAUAUACUUCCACAUAUUUUCUCAUCAAUCACACCAGAGAAACUCAAGAACAAUAUAUUGUCAUAAUCUCCACAAAAUUUGAGCGUGAUCUAAUGGUUAAUGAAUGUGUAUUCGUCAAUUUCAUGAAGCCGCAUGUUGGAAUUUUUCUGGGGGACCGCGAGAGAGAACUCGUGUGUGGACAUAGUUUUUCUUUAAUUGCUAACCUCAAUUAUCUCUCUAAAAGCCCUAAUUUUUCGAAACUCUCUUUAUAUAUCCUAUGAGUCAGGGUUUUCUUGUAAGAGCACAAUUUCUUACUUUCCUAUCUUGGACUCUAAGGUUAUGUUAGUCAUCUAGAUUUCUACAUAGGAUAGAAUUGGAUAUGAUGCGAUAAGAUAUGAAAUACAUGGAUUUUGCUUUGUCCUAUCCAUUAUUGGGUGAUUGUUGUAAUAAAAUUAGAUAUAUUCACAUCAUAUCUUAUAAAUUGUUUGGUAUAAAAGGUAUAUUAAUAUAAACGAACUAAACAAUGUUAUAAACGGAGAUGGUAAAAAUCUCCCGCAACAAUCUUGUCUAGUUUAUUUUUAUUUUAUUUUCUUCUCUUUUUAAUUAAUUUCUUUUUUAUUUCUUUCUUCCCCUUCCAUCAUUCUAAUAAAAUUUUAUUAAAUAGGAAACUAUACUAUAUAUUUAAAAUAUUAAAACACCUAAAAUGUGUAAUAUAUAUAUAUAUAUACACACACACACAUUGAAUUUAUAUUAUAAGAUAGAAUCAAAUUCAAUAUAUAAAUAAAAAAGAUUAAAUAAAAAACUAAAUUACUAUUUUAUGUUAUUUUGAAUUUUUUAUAGUAGAAUUCAAAUAUUAUUUAUAUUGAAAUAUAAUUUUAAAUUUGUUAAUUUAAGAAUUUUGUUAUUCGAGAAAAAUAACUUUCUUAUUGUGGAUAUUAGAAAUCAUGUCCACAAUUAUCCCACUUCUCCCAUGAGAUAAUUUUAUCUGAUUUAUAUCUCUUUUAUAUCCGACUUUAUUCUAUCUUGAGCAAGCACCAAAUAAAAGAUAGAAUAAAUUUUAUCUUAUCCAGAAUUUUAUCUCAACUGUCAAUCGUAGCCUAAGAGAUAUCCCCUACCUUUAACAACGGAAACUCUCCUAUUAUCUAUUAUUAUUUAAAUUGUGAUAAUAUCAAGUUUAAUAUCUCCCCAAUUUGACUUUAAUUAAUCAAUAUUUUCGAAUUUAGCAACCCAUAUGCACAAAGUUUGGCCAAUAUGUUGGAUAAAAGGGCUUGGCGAAAUUAUACGAGCGAUGUUAGCCCAAUUAAUUCAAUUGAGCUCAUAACCUCCUUCGCUUAAGUCCAUUAACUUCAAUGCAAUUAUAUGAGCUUAAUUAAAAUGCUCCCAAUACUUAUAUGCAAUUUAACUAGUAUUUUUGUUUAGGAAUCGGGGUUUGUGACAUCCCAGAUUUUUAGUUCUGCUUUCUACUGGAUAAAUUGAGUAUUUCAUUGACGCGCCUAUAGGGAUGUUCUCAGAGCCGAUCACUCUUGAGAUAACUAGAUCAUUCGGGGAAGCCAUUAAGGAAUUUUAAGGCAAUACACUUGAGAAUUCGACUAGGAAUCGACUUCUCGACAGUGUUCAUCUUUAGAGGCCAUUACGGCACAGUUAAAAAUUGAUUUGAGAUCAGAGAAAGGUCUGUUCGACUGAGAUGUGUGGCUAAUCAUGGGUGAUACCACUAAAUUGGAAAAUUCUCGUCGAUCGGCCCUAGACUAAUUCUUCUGUUGUUUUGAUACCCUGUGUCCGUAAUUGAAUCCUCGAUAUUUUCACGACAACCGAGAAUCGCCAUUAAGUCGAGUGGGUUCAUUGUGGCUCGAAGAAAAUUGACAAUGGGUCAUUUGCACUAAAAAUUUCUAAAAACUACCCAGUAGCCUAGGUCACGCUAAAAACGCGCUGAAUGAAAAUUAACUACGAAUUCAAGUCCAAUUUCAGAAAUUGAAGAUCUUGUCAUGUCACAAUAAAUUCUAGGAACGUUGACUCAAUCUCAGAAGAUUUUUCUGACAAUCGAGACUUUUUGAAAAAAGUCGGCAUUGGACUGUUUUUGUUCAAUUAAGGCCGGGAAUUAUUUUUGGUCGCAAAUUUGAGAUGCAAGAUGGAUUCAUGGGUGAGGAAAAUUAUCAAUUUAAUAAUUGAGGCAUCGAUUGAAUUUAUGAGAGCCAAUUGAGAGUGGAUCAAGUGAGGAUUGAUGUCCAAUGGAAGCCAAUUACAUGCAAAUUCGUAGCUCCCCCAUGCCCUAGCAAAAUUGGACCAUUUCAUGAGUUGUUGGGCAAGCCUUGGUGGCCCAAUGGAGAACAAGUAAGUGUGCAUGGCCUAGGAUGAGUUUGGGAGAUAUUUUUGUGGAAAAUUAAGACAUAGGGCCCCCCAUCUCUCUCUCUCUCUCUCUCUCUCAUCUCUUCUCUCUUUCCUCACCAACCGGCCAAAACCCUCCUCUUCUCUCUCUCUCUCAGCCGUGUGACUACUAGCAAAGGAAGAGAAACCGAGCAACUCCUCCACGCCGCAUGCCUCGCUGUCGCCGUUCAUGCGUGCCACCGCCUGUGGGCCGUCGCCUUUGCCGCGCUACCGGCUUCCUCACGCCUGAUCCAGCCACCAUCCAACAACCGUGGAGCCUAGCUGGGGCUGUUCUUAGCCGUUUCUUUGUUGGUAAACCUCGAUCCAGGCUCGGUUUGGCCUAUUUCUUCCUUCCCGAUCAAUUCUCGCCUAAACCAAGUUGAUUUCCUUCCAUUUCCAACCAAGUACAGCAACUAUUUUUGUGGGUAUCACAGCACCUUGGGAGGCCAUUUUGAGGUGUUUCCGAGCCCCGAACCCUAGGCUCGCUUUGGAGAAAAAUGUCCCCCGCGACAUUCUCGACAUUUCAAUCCGAGCGGAUUGUUAAACGGGUGAGUUUAGCUCACUAAUCCUUGCUUAGUAGACUAAUAAUGCUUAAGGGUUGAUUAGUGUUAAUUAAGUGUGAUUAGGUGGUUAGAUUAGUUUAGAUUAAUUAAAUUAGUGAUUUAAUGAUGCAUGUUAGGUGGUUAGACUUAGUCAUUGGCUAGUAGAGAGGUUCUAGUAUUUAUUGAACGAACCUCGGGAUUUUUCCCGGCUCGUCUCGGUCUCCAAUUAGGCAUUACGGACCUAAAUUGGAUUUAUUGUAUUUAUUUAAUAAUUUUCGAAAUUAAUUUAUUAUUUAUUUAUUUUCUGAAAAUUAGGUUAGGAUAGCUGACGACCGAAAUUUUAUGCUGAUUGUCGUGGUGCAGUCGGUUUAUUUAGUCAAGCUUUACGUUGUGUUGAAUUGAUUUAAGUAUGAUUUUUAGGAUUUAAUCCUAAAUGAAUUGAUUUGUGGUAAUUAACUGGUAAUUACGAGGCAUCGGUUCACAGCGCCAAAAUAUUGUUUAUGGGUUGUUGAAAAUGGUGGGAAGUUCUAAAGUAAUAAUUAUUGCAUUUUGGCUAAGGCCGAUCAUGUACCCACACACGUGUACUUUUAUCAAGUAUGAUAAAAAGGUAAAAAUUGAUUGUGCCUUCGAAACAAAAAAAUUAUAAUGGCUCGAUGAUUCGUAUGUCAUCUAGAAAAUGGACAUUAUACUAUAUGGCUCGAUGACUCUCUUGUCAUCUUGAGAAAGAAUUGCUUGUAUACCGGCUCGGUGACCCUAUAUGUCGCCUUUGAGAUAGGACGGUAUGAUUUAACAACUCGAUGACUCUCAUGUCAUCUUGAGAAGGAAUUGUUUGUAUACCGGCUCGGUGACUCUAUAUGUCAUCUUGGAGAUAGGACAGUAUGACCCAACGGUGUGUUAUAACGGCUUGAUGACUUAAUAUGUUGUCUGGAAGAUAGAACGUUAUACACAGGUAUGUUAUAAUGGCUCGAUGACUCAACAUGUCAUCUCAGAGAUAGAACGUUAUGCAUACUAGCUCGAUGGCUCUAUAUGUCAUCUGGAGAUAUGAUAGUACUAUCUGUAUUUCAUUAUUGAUUAAGGAAUCCUGGAUGUUGACCGGCUCGGUGACUUUAUAUGUCAUCUUGGAGAUAGGACAGUAUGACCCAACGGUGUGUUAUAACGACUUGAUGACUUAAUAUGUUGUCUGGAAGAUAGAACGUUAUACACAUGUAUGUUAUAACGGCUCGAUGACUCAACAUGUCGUCUCCGAGAUAGAAAGUUAUGCAUACCAGCUCAAUGGCUCUAUAUGUCAUCUGGAGAUACGAUAGUACUAUCUGUAUUUCAUUAUUGAUUGAGGAAUCCUGGAUGUUGAUUGGAUUCAUAGAUAGUAUUGAAUGAAAUGACCAAGGAAUGGUCUAAGUGACAUGUAAUCGACUAGGUCGAUUGAUCAAUGCUUUGAUCUGAUGUCGUGAAUUGAUUGAAUUGAUUGAUUGAUGUGAUAUGAGGCAUCUGUAAAUAAUCUUGACUUGCAGGAUGGAACUGAGGCCAAGAUAAGUCCUCUGACUCGUGUUGUGCAUAAGCAGCUCUAAGGUGUAUUGGUUUCCUAAUCAAGUCUUAGGAGGGUAGAACUCGCUGAAACGUUGUCUCACUAGUUAUUGUAUAACCAUUUUCAGGUCCAUAGAUGAUGUUGGUGGAGGACCAGAAGUCCUGGAGUUCGGGGAAGUGAAGAAAAUAGAAUCAACAAACCUGUCUGACUCGUUAGUCAUAGGAUAGUCCCCUUUUGAUUAAGCCGAUAUUUUUGUAAGCGACUUGUUGAUGUAAAUAAACCUCUGUGUUUAUCAAAGUGUGGCUGUGGAUUUCAGUAUGAAAAUUUAUGGCCCUACAUUUCUAUCCCAUUGUUUGAUUGUCUGGGGAUUUAUAAUUGCUUCCGCAUGUGCAUAUUAAAAUGAAUGGGACGGCGAUGUGUUCUGGGACGUCGCUAUAAAUCGACCAGAAGAAGGAUGGACGCAUGCCCGAGGAUCAGGGCGUGACAUCGCCUUUUUGUGGUAUCAGAGCAAUGGUUAGGGAUUGGAAUGAUAAGGUGCGAUGACCAUGAUAAAAAGUUAGUAGGGAAGGCCUUUAAAUUCACAACCGGUGUAUGUUUAUGGUAGCUAAGUGCUAGAAUUGUUUGUUGUUUGGAUUGCUCUGUUUCUAAUUCUGUGUGGAAUUGGAAGCAGGUGUCAGUUUUUAAAGCUGAACUAUGAGCAAUUCGGAGCAAAGGACUCCUACCAAGAGGAUCGUGCGUGCCAUGACUCGGGGUAGAACGCUGACUAGGGUCGGUACCCGAGGAGGCCGUGGUCGAGCGCUAGCUCAGGCUAGCGCGGGUGGUGUGGCACCACCUAUGGUGGGUGCCGGGGUAGAAGCCCUUAAUGAUCUCAGGAUAGAAGGGAUCAUGCGAGUGUUGGAAGUGAUGGGUACAAGAAUGGAUCAGUAGGCACAGAACCAAGCCGCUGCUGUUGAAGCCGCUGCUUAAGCCGCCGCUACUGCCACUAUUGUUGCCGCUGCUGAGGUUGCCCCUGUUGUUGCACUUGCAGCUACACCUGUUGUUGCCCCCGCUGAAGUCCCGCCAGGAGUGGUGGCCGUUGCGAGACCAAUCCAUAAAUUGGUGGAACAUUUCUUGAAGCUCAGUCCACCAAGGUUUAGGGGUACUGGAGACCCUGAGGCUACAUUGCAGUGGAUACAGGACUUAGAGAAAGCAUUUGCACUCUUAAUGUGCACCAAAGAGGAGAAAGUGGUAUUGGUUGUAUACCAACUUCAAGACAAUGCCAACAUCUAGUGGAAAGCCACCAAGGAUACUGUGUUUCUAGAAGGAGUGCCCCGGGUGUGGGACACCUUCCUCAGAGCCUUUAAUGAUCAAUACUUCUUGGGUGCUGCCCGGGAACAGAAGAUGGAGGAGUUUCAACGUCUUCGUCUGUCUUCGUCAAGGAUCGAUGACAGUCAAUCAGUACGGGGUCAAGUUUGCUGAACUUUCACAGUAUGCCCCAAGAUUGAUUGAGGAUCCCGAGGAGAAAGCUUGAAGAUUCAGAAACGAUCUUCGUAUCGAGCUGAAGCAACCUUUGCUACCACUGGACUUGACGGAUUAUCGUGAGGUCUAUCACAGAGAGAGGUAUAAUUGAGCAGAAUGCCUCAUCUGGAGCGAGGUUCAACUUUCAUAGAGAAGGAAUUCGUUAGGGGAAGAAGCCCAUGACGGGAGGUAGAUUCCAAGUACCACCGAAUAGGAAAGGUGGAAUUGGCAAGCCCAUGCCUAAUAGAAAUGACUUGUGUCAUGCUUGUGGAAGGCAACAUGGACCGAAUCAGUGCACUUGAAGGAUGGGCACUUGUUAUGAGUGUGGUCAACAGGGCCACCUGACUAGAGAUUGUCCUAAGAAGCCAGGAGGACAACCGUAGCUACCAUCGCCGCCACCGAUUAGACAGAUAAGAGGGUAUGCCCCUCAGAAUGCGCCACAGGGAGGACAGCUGAGACCUUUAGCUUAGGGCACAAUUUAUGCUAUCACACAAGGUCAGGUAGAAGCUGCGCUUGAUAUGAUCACAAGUAUGGUUUCGCUGAGUAACCAACUUGCUUACCCUUUGUUUGACUCAGGAGCAACUUAUUCCUUCAUUGCCAAGCAAUAUGUUAAGAUGUUAGGAUUGAGUCCUAUAUUGUUGGAGUCGGCAAUUUGCAUAUCUACACCGUUGAAGGAUAAAGUAUUAGCUACUUUAGGUUGUUCCGAUUGCAAAUUAGAGAUUGGUGAGCGAGUGGGGAAAAUUGAUCUGUUAGUCCUAGCCAUGUAUGAUUUUGAUUUAAUAAUUGGCAUGGACUGGCUCACCAAGCAACGAGCUAAAAUGGAUUGCUAUCGUAAAGUGAUUCAGUUUGACCCGUUAGAGGGUAAGAGCUUCAAGUUUGUCAGGAAUCGAGGAGGACCCUCGAUUACCUUGAUCUCGUCGCUAGAGGCAACUCGUCUGUUAGACGAGGGUUGUCAAGGGUAUUUGGCAACUUGUAUGUAUUGGCAUAAUCUUCAUCACUUUCUUCGCAUUCAGUAUCACUCCAUGUCUCUACCUUGAGAGCCUUCCUGUAUUUCUCAGUUUUUCCUUUCUUUUUCUUCAACAUGGGACAGUUGGGUCUGAUGUGUCCCUUUUUCUUGCAUUCAAAACAUAUCACAUCUUUAUUGGCUUCAUCAUCCUCAGUUGAUUUGUUUUGAAACUUUUGAGUGCUUUGCUUCUUCCAAUUGAAUCUUCUUCCUUUUUUUGUUCAAUUUCCUGAAUCUCUUUAUUAUGAGAGCUAACUCUUCAUCAUCCAUAUCAUCUUCAAAAUCUAUAACAUCAAAAUCAUCGUUAGAUCUCAAAGCAAUUGAUUUCUUAUCUUUGGAUUCUUCUUCCUCAUUGAUUUGCUCCACUUCAUAGGACUGAAGUGUGCCAACCAAUUCGUCUACAGAAAGUGGCAUGAUCCUUUGUGUUUCCCUUAUUGAGGUCUUUACAUGAUUCCAUUCUUUCGAAAGUCCACGCAACAACUUGUUAACCUUCAUGGGUCCCGAGAUUGGUUGUCCCUAAUAUUCUAGACCAUUUAUAAUUUCUGUAAAACGACUAAACAUGUUAGUGAUAGAUUCUCCUGGCUUCAUCUUGAAUGCUUCAUACUGCUCGAGUAAAAUAUUGAUCAUUGUUUCCUUCACUCGAUCAGUUCAUUUAUAAGUAAUAUGCAGCCUGUCCCAGACUUCUUUGGCUGUUUCACAAGAAGAUAUUCUGUUAUAUUCAAUAGGAGAUAAUGCACAAUAUAAGGAGUAAAUUGCUUUAGCAUUAAGAGCUUGUCUCUUGAUUAUUUCUUCUUAAGUCAUCUCGCCAGCGUCUGCAACUUCUUUUCCCCUUUCUAAAACUGAUGUAACUUUAGGAAUAAUUCCCUUUUCUACCACAUCCCAUUCCAGAGGAUUUUUCGAUCUUAGGAAUGCCUUCAUCUUAUUCUUCCAUAUGUUGUAUUCCUUUCCAUCGAAAUAUGGUGGUCUUAUGUUACUUUGGCCUUCAACCAAACCUGGAGCCAACAUCCUAGCCAUAGAUCUUUAACUCGGAAGUAAAAACACUUCAAAUAAAUGAGUACAUAGGCUUUGAUACCAAUUGAUAAAGCUAGUAUGAACACCUAAAGGGGGGUGAAUAGGUGUUAAAGAAGUUUUUGUAAGACUUAACAACUUAAUUCGACUUUUAUGAAAACAGUAGACUAAAGAUGUAAAAGUCUGUAAACAGUUAUAUAAGGCUGCGAAUUAAAGUAAAGAGUUUAGGGAAAGAGAAUUAAAACACAAGGUUUAUAGUGGUUCGGCUUAGACCAAGCCUACGUCCACUAUCCCGCACUGACAACCCCACUGGCUGGAUUCCACUAAAAAUCAAAAGAGAUUUUAUAGUCUCACGUCAUUGAUUCCACAGUGUAGAGUCUGCACUUCCUCAAGGUCUCACAAUUAUUGAUCUCUCUUUUGAGUACAGUUUAUGCUGGACAAAUUGACACAGCAAAGAACUAAGAACUUCAGACUUUGGAAUUUUUUUUUCACACACACACUCGAAUAACUUGAGCGUCCUCCUUAUAUACUCCUCCAUGCCAUCAUAACCGUUGGCACUUUCCAAAGGAGUUCUUCCAAUCUACCCAUUGGACAGAAUCAAUUAGGAAGAUCUUGAGUUAUUUAAGUAAUGUGAUGAUAGCCCACCAAUCAUGCUUGCCCAUACAAUCAGGAUCUAGGUUUCCAUAAGUAGAACCUUCCAAGUAUACUUCGCCAAUCAAUAGAUCUAAUUAUUCAAAUUGAUUUCAAUAAGAAUAAUUGAUCACGAGAUGCUAUCUCCAGCCAUGAGAUAUUCUUCAACCGUAAGAACCAAAUCCUUAAAGAUAUACUUGCAUCUGGAUAAGCCUUCUUCAUUGGAUAAAUAUUUUCUUCAUCGAUCUGGAAACUAUCAGUGAGGGUAGACUUUGAAUCUUGAGUCUGGAGGUCUUCAGACUUUGACGAUAAAGUCUACAAGUCUUCAGACUAGAUUGAUGGAAACGUUUUGUCAACUUCAAAAUAGAUAAAGAAGUUUUCUCCAACACUCGGAACCUUAGUGUUCCGUCCUCAGAAAUCUAAAUGUCAGCCUUUCUCUUUUCAAUAUCCUCUUGUAGGAUUUUCUGAAUAUCAGGGUCUGUCAACUGAAGCGUCUUAAUCCUAAUUUGCACUUUCGGCUUAAUUCUGAGAGUGGCCAUAAUAUUUGAAAGGUGGGGUACCUCAAAUUUGAAAACAGAAUCUCAAGCGCUCUCGAGUAAAAUCCACUCCUUAACCAUCAUCUGUGCAACUGAAGAUUUCUGACUUAGUGCGUUUGCAACCUUAUUAGCCUUUCUAGGGUGAUACAAGAUGUCACAAUCAUAAUCCUUAAAAAGUUCCAUCCAGUGACGCUGUCUCAUAUUCAACUCCUUCUGAGAAAAUAGGUACUUGAGACUUUGAUAAUCUGUAAAAAUCUGGAACCUUUCUCCGCACAAAUAAUAUCUCCAAAUCUUCAGAACGAAAAUGAUUGCUGCGAGUUCCAAGUCAUGCAUUGGAUAGUUCAGCUCAUGAGGUCUCAACUAACGGGAUGCGUAUGCAAUGACCCCACCAUGCUACAUUAACACGCAACCCAGUCCUCUAAAUGACACAUCACUGUAGAUCUCGUAUCCUCCAGGACCGGAUGGUAUGGUCAACACUAUUGCGGUAGUUAGCUUUUGCUUAAGCUCGUGAAAACUAUACUCGCACUUGUCUGCCCACACAAACUUUUGUUCCUUCUUCAGUAGUCGAGUCAAAGGCGAGGCUAAAGUUGAAAAUCCUUCCACAAACCUCCUGUAGUGCCCUGCUAAACCCAGAAAGCUUCUAAUCUCUAUCAUUGUCGUCGGUCUUGGCCAGCUGAUAACUGUUUCAAUCUUGGUUGGGUCCAUGGAGAUUCCUUCUCCUGAAAUCACGUGAUCUAGGAAAGUAACAUGAGUCAACCAAAACUUGCACUUGCUGAACUUGGCGUACAGUUCAUGAUUCUUUAGUGUCUGAAGCACCAUCCUCCAAAGCCUUUUGUGCUCCUCUGGACUUCUUAAGUGCACCAGGAUGUCUUCAAUGAAAAUGAUCACAAACUUAUCCAGAUAUUCCUUGAACACUUGGUUCAUCAAAUCCAUGAAAGCAGCUGGGGCGUUCGUCAAACCAAAUGGCAUUACAGUGAACUCAUAAUGGCCGUAUCGAGUACGAAACGCUGACUUCAGUAUGUCCUCAAGUCGAUCUUAGAAAAUAUCAACGCUCCUUGCAACUGAUCAAACAAGUCGUCAAUCUUCGCCAGUGGAUACUUGUUCUUGAUUGUCACCUAAUUGAGUUGACAAUAGUCGAUGCACAGGCGCAACGAACCAUCUUUCUUCUUCACGAACAGCACUGGUGCUCCCUAAGGUGAUGCCUUGGGACGUAUGAAUCCCUUAUCCAACAAUUCCUGCAUCUGCACCUUCAGUUCUUUUAAUUAAGACAACGCCAUGCGGUAAGGAGCCUUAGAGAUUGACUUUGUCCCAGGGGCUAACUUAAUCACAAACUUAAUCUCCCUCUCUAGCGGCAAACCUGGCAAUUCCUUCGGAAACACGUCUGGAAACUCUUGAACCACUACGAUAUCUUCAAUCUUUAGUUCCCCCUCUAACAAACGGGUUGCCUCAAGCGACGAGAUUACGGUAAUCGAGGGUCCUCCUCGACUCCAAAUAAACUUGAAACUUUCACCUGCUAACGGGUUAAACUGAAUUGUUUUACGAUAGCAGUCCAUCUUAGCUCAUUGCUUGGUGAGCCAGUCCAUGCCAAUUACGUCAAAAUCAUAUAUGGCUAGAACUAUCAAAUCUAUCCUCCUCUCUCACUCACCAAUCACUAACUUGUAACCAAGACAGCCCACCGUAGACAACACCUUAUCCUUUAACGGUGUAGAUAUACUAACCACUGACUCCAACAUUUCAGGACUCAAUCCUACUAGCUUAACAAAUUACUCAGCUAUAAACAAAUGAGUUGGACUAGGGUCAAAUAAAACAUAAGCAGCAUGGUCAUUCAACGAGACCAUACCUGUGAUCACAUCAGGCGAGUCCUCAGCCUGUCCUCUGGUGAUGGCGUACACCCUUCCUUGUGCUGUAGCUCUAUUUAGUCCACCCUGCUGUGCAUUCGGGGGUGCGUACCCUCAAUUUUGACCCAUCGGUGGUGGUGGCGGUGGCGGCAACUGUUGCGGUCCCAACGGUCUUCUGGGAUAAUUCCUGGCUAUGUGACCCUAUUGGCCACACUCAUAACAAGCACCUAGCCUAGAAUGACACAGGGCUGAUCCAUGUCGCCUUCCACAAAAGCGACACAUGCCCAUAUGGGCCUGACCGUAUAGCUCGUUGUAAUCUUUCAUGUCAAAUGGCACCAACGGAUUCUUCAACUUUGGUCGGAGGCCGUUCCUGAACCUCUGAUCUCUAUCUUCAGGAUCUUCCACUAGUCUGGGGGCACACUGUGACAGCCCCACAAAUUUAGCUUCAUACUAAUCUACUGUCAAUAUCCCUUGACGGACGCACUGGAAUUCCUCCAUUUUUUGCUCUCAGGCGCUAUCAAAAAAAUACUUUCUAUUAAAGGCCUUGAGAAAGACAUUCCACACCGGGACUUCACCUUCAGGAACUAUUCUACCUCCGGUGGCCCUCCACUAGGUACUCACAUUAUCUUGCAACUGAUAUCCUACCAGGACAACCUUCUCCUCCUCAUUACACAUCAGCAGUGCAAAGGUCUUCUUUAGGUCUUGUAUCUAAAGGGUUGCAACCUCGGGAUCUCCGGCUCCGAUGAACCUCGGCGGGUUCAGCUUCAAGAACUAUUCCACCAACUUGUGCAUCGGCCUCUCUCUCUCAACAACCAUGUUCCCAGGUGGAACUUUGGCAGGUGCGGCUACAGUAGCAACAACGACAGCAGUAGCAGUAGCUGUAGCGGCAACGAUAGUGGCGGUGGCUUGAUUCUGGGCCUGCUGCCCCAUCAGAUUUCCCAACGUCUCUAGUGCCUGAACGAUCCCAUCUAUCCUAGGAUUGCCAAGGGCUGCUACCCCAGCACCGACUAGAGGCGGUCCUACUCCACUAGCGCUGGCUUGAACCUGCGCUAGCCUGAACCUACGCUCUCCCAUGACCACCUCGGAUACCAACCCUUGUCGACGUCCUACCCCGAGUCACUAGUCCAAUGGUCAUCUUCCUAGGAGUCUUCUACUCCUAAUCACUCAUUAUGUAAGUUCUUUAUAGAAACCUACUUUCCAAUUCCACACAAAAUUAGAAGUUGAACGAUCACACCAAACAAACUAUCAAACAGCUAUCAAUCACAUGCAUCUGCAUAAGAAAACGGCAUUUCCUACUAACUAUCCCUUAACCCAUCGCACCUUGUCACUCCAACUACCAACCAACUCUGAUACCACUCCAAGUAGGGAUGUCAUGCCUCGAACCUCGAGCACGUGCGCAACCCUCGGUGGUUGAUAAAAUUUGCGACGUCCCAGGACGUGUCACCGACCCUUUCUUUUUAUUGCACAUGCGGAAGCGAAUAAAUAAAUCCCCAAACAACACAAAUAUGGGGAUAGAAAAGUAGGGUACCAUUUUCACAAAAGACUUUUCAUAACAAGCUAAGUUUAUAUACAACACUAGACUAUAAACAAAAGUCUUCUCCGAAAAGAAGAGCCUCCUAGCUAACUAGGCAUAAGAGUCCUCAGCCGAGACCUCUGAGACCUCCGGGGGAUCUAGGUUUUCCACGACACCAUCAGGGAUGUUGGUGUCAAGGGGGCCAACCAUCUCCUCACCCUCUACACCGGGUGCAUCAAAACCAUCCAACGGACCUUCCUGUUCUCCGUUAGGCCCAUGACGAUACCACGCUCCGAAUCGAUGAGGUACAAACUCAGGUAGGCCCUCAUCGACUGAGACCGUAGACACCAUGAGCUCACGGAGCCAGGAAGUCCCAGGGAUAGGGAAAAACAUACUCUACUCACUGAACCCCCUCGGCUGCCUAAAACGCACUUGCAGGACCGCCAUCUACGGACCUGAAAAGAAUUGAGCCCACGACGAGGUGAGACAACGUCUCAGUAAGUUCACCCCCUAAACCCUGAUUAGAAAGGAAAUACGCCUAAGGUGUCCUAAUCACACAGCCACACAACCAUAAAGACUCACCUCGUCUCAGAUCCUCCCUGCAGGUCAGCACAGUUUAUAUCACAGACAUAAACAACAAUCAAAUUCAAUCAAAUGGAACGCCACAUCUCAUAUUUCACACAACCACAGGGAUCUCGAUUAUAAGGCCAGAUCGUUAUGACACAUCCUAUACCAUGCCACACAAUUUUAUCCCAUAUCCGGUGCGUUGAUUUCACACAAUCAUGCGUUCCAAUUUUUAAUCAUGGCCCAACGGGCACAGCCUACUUGACGUUCGGCGGUCUUCUACCGUAACUAGGCAUCGUCUCAUCCCAUCGAGCAUGGCAACGUCUACAUCUAGACGGCAUUCCACAUAGGAGCAUUGGCCCAGCCUCAACUACGACUGGCAUCCAUUGACAAGGGCAUCCCAUAUAGGGGUAACGUCUACCCAACUCACAUUAGGGACGGGUUCUCAUAACCAUUCAUGCACUCAUCCAAUCCCGGCCAAGACAUCGUGCUUUGCUCUCAAAUGUCCUAAUUAAAAUAAUGUACUUGGCCCAUUUUCUUCGUAUUAAAAACACACGGUAAAAAUAAUCAUGUGUGGGUAAACAGUCAAUUUGAACUAGAAAAAUUGAUAUCCUCCCUUUUAAAAUACCAUUAUUUUAUAUAGUAUCAAAAAUCAUUUUCGGUGUCAAAACCCAACACUCAGUAGUUUCUAAUUAAAUACCAAAAAUUUGAAAUUUUGAAAUAAAAACUCAAAAUCACAAUCACCACUCAAUGUGCACAAAAUUACACUUAAUUGCCAUUACAAUCAGCACGAAAUUUUGGUCACCGGCUAUCCCGGUAUAAUUUCUGAAAAAUAGUAAAUAAUUAAAUAAAUUACAAAAAUAAUUAUAUAAAUAUCAAUAAAUCCAAUAAAUGUAUACCUAGGCCAGAAACGCUAAUCUAACCACCUAAAUGGGCCUAGAAAAUUUCUGCACCUAUCUAGAUAAAUAGUACAAUCUAUCUAGUCCUUAAUUUGUCUAUCUAACCACCUAACAUGCAUAAUUAAGCCAUUAAAUCACUAAUCUAAACUAACUAAUCAUAUCUUAAGCUAAGCUAAUUAUUUACUAAGCGUCAUUAACUCCCUAAGUAGAGUUUAGCAAGUAAACUCACAGAUUUAGCGGGCCGGUUAGUCCACGGCGACAGCGACACGGAGGUGAGUGAUAAACAAGCUUGCAGCGACACCAAGUGGGGUCUGGACAGGACUAAAAACAGGCCUAGAAGUCCAAGAACACUUGCUGGCCUUCGGCCUUUGUCCUUAGGCCGAAGGGGUUGGUCAGGGCUCGGCUUGGGCUGAAACGGCCACAAGGGGACGGUGGCAGCUAUAGCAACUCCUAGCAAGCUCGACAGAGGUGGAUGACGGCUGGAACGGCGACGACAACGCUUCGACUAGCUAGACAGAGGCUUGGGAUAGCAGCUGGAACGGCGACGACGACGCUUCGACUGGCUGGACAGAGGCUUGGGACAACAGUUGGGUGUGACAGGAGGCACGGGCGGGCGAACGAUGCACACGGGUUAGCACGCGGCUUGCAGCCGACAGCAAUUGGCACAAUGGCGGAAGGGGAGGUGGUCGAUGGUCUAGCUGGCUUCUCUAGUUUUCUUUGAGCUCUAAAAGGCUUCAACAAUGGAUAAAGUAGCUACAAGGAGGAAGAAGGAGCCAGCUGCUGAAGAGGGGCAUCCAAUUGCCUCAAAUAUCAACCAAAAUAUCCCAUUUCACUUUAUGCUUGCCCCCACCACCUUCAGCCUUCAAUCCUCAGCCAUUUGAUUUGAACACCUAAACUUCCCCAACAAGCUAUUGAAAUGGUCCAAAAGUGGUUGCCCCCUUGGACCUACGAAUUUUGGACAAUUCCGUCCAAAUUCAAUUCAAUUGCAACUCAAUUCAAUCCAAUUGAUGUCCAAUAAUUCUAGCCAAGGUGGCCACAUUAAAUUCUUGCAAUUCCCUCACCAAAUAGUCCAACUUAAAUGCCAAAAGGGCAACCAAAAGUGGCUCUCAAAUUUUCCCAGUUGAAAAUAGCCUUACUUUGAAUUUUCGCCGAAAUCUCGAGUUUGCAGAAAAAUCUUCGAAAGAUGAGUCGACGUUCCUAAAAUGAAUCAUAACAUGACAGAACUUUAAUUUCUGAAAUUGGGUUUAAAUUCGCGGUUAAUUUCAACCAGGCGCGAUUUUAGCGUGACCUAACCUACCGGGUAGCUUUUAGAAAUUUUUAGUGCAAUUGACCCGUGAUCGAUUAUUUUCAAGCUACAUUGUGCAUCUUCAGAUGUGAUUCAUAGGUUUCCAUGAGAGUAGCUAGCCCUUUCAGUAGGCCUUUAGGUAGAGGUGGAGCAGGGGCUGAUAGUGACAAAGUAGUAAGGGUCAGAGGUGACAUCGAUAGUACAACUGUCAUAUCCUUCUCAGUUGGUAAUGUCAACUCAAGUGUUUUUGCCAUUGGAGUAACCUUUUCAAUUGAUGAAGGCAAUGUAGUGCUGGAAGUAGUUGAUCCAUCUAUUAGUCGGGAUUGAACGACACUCUGACUUUGAGUGGCUUCAAUCAAUCCUUUUGGCUGAGAGGUCUCCUCCUUUGAGGCUUUGGUUACUGGUCUAGCAGUGCGAGCUGAUUUUCUCACAGUCUUGGAGGUAAGGUGAGGUUUAUGUGUCAUGGUUUGGAAUGAAAAAGAGGAAAUGUCAAGGAGAGUAAGAAAAUGCAAGAGAGCAUGAAAUAUUAGAAAUAACUUUGUGGUGAGGAAAGACGUGAAUACUAUCUCUCUAUAAAUAGAACCAGUAAGUUCACAUUGAGAGAGAGCUAGUUAUUGUAUCCAAUGGUAACUUUCUUAUCUAUAAUUUUUACUACGUAGUUGAUUUAAACAAUCUAGAAUUAAAUUAGCAAUAAAAUAGCAGUAACAACCAGAGAUAAGGGAUGUCAUGUGUUAGACAAAUAAAAUGAGAUAGAGGCAAAUACACUAUAACAAUAACUUUUUAAAAAAAAAAGUAGAUGCGUAUCAGCAUUUUUAGCAUAUUUGAUUUUUUAAUCAAUGUCAAGUAAAUGAAAUAUUACCAGGAAGAUACUAUUCAAGUGCAUUGUAGGUCCCCAAUUCACCACGAAUAUAUUCAAAGGUUGGCUUGUCCAAUGGCUUAGUGAAGAUAUCUCUUAGCUAACAUGUCGAAUCUACAAACUAUAUAUAAACAUCACCAUUGCUGACAUGAUCUUUGACAAAAUGAUGUCGUACACCGAUGUGCUUUGCCCUUGAGUGUAGUAUUGGAUUUUUGGUGAGGAUUAUAGCUCUUGUGUUGUCAUACAUAAUAUGAAUACAUUCCUCAUUUUCUCCAAAAUCACUUAACUAUUGUUUCAUCCAAAUAAGUUGUGCAUAGCAAUUUUCAAGAGAUAUUCAUCCUUAGUAAUUGAAAGAGCAACUAAACUUUGUUUCUUUAAGAACUAAGAGAUCGGCAUACUUCCCAACAAUUGACAAGUACCUGAUGUACUCUUUCUAUUGAUUUUGCAAAGUCAGUGUCUGAGUAUCCAACCAAUAUAAAUUUAUAAUUUUGGAAUACCAUAUUCCUAGUUUUAGAAAUGAUUCAAUGUAUCAAAUGAUCUGCUUAAUAGCAUAAAUAUGAGAAUUUUUUGGAUCAGAUUGAAAACAGGCACAUAAACAAGUGCUAAAUAAGAUAUCAGGUCUAAAUAUUGUAAAGUAUAGUAAUGAUCUUAUCAUGCUUCUAUAGAAUUUGGAGUUGAUGGGCUUACCUUUUUCAUCCUUGUCCAGCUUGACAGAAGAUGAUAUUGGCAUCUCAACUUUCUUGCAUCUUUCUAGACCAAAUUUCUCCACUGUCUCCUUAGCAUAUUUCUCUUGACGUAUGAAGGUGCCUUCAAGAAUUUGCUUGAUUUAAAGGCCAAGAAAGAAAUUGAAUUCUCCAAUUCAUCUUAUCUCAAACUCACUUUUCAUAAUGUUUACAAAAUCAUUGCACAGUAAGUCAUCAGUAGCUCUAACAAUUAUGUUAUCAAUGUAUAUUUGAACAAUGAGUAAAUCUUUAACUUUCAUUUUAAUGAAAAGAGUAGUGUCUACCUUACCUUUUUCAAAAUCAUAAUCAAACAAAAAAUUACUUAAUCUUUCAUACUAUGCUCUUGGUGCUUAUUUUAGUCCAUAGAGUGUCUUCUUAAGUCGAUAGACAUCACUUGAUCUUCCUAGUUCUUCAAAACUUGGAGAUUACUCAACAUAUACUUUUUUUUCUUUGAUAUAACCAUUUAGAAAUGUACUUUUGAUAUCCAUUUGGUAUAGCACAAAAUUGUGAAAAGCAUGCAUAUGCUAGUAACAAAUGUAUAUCUUCUAGUCCAGCAACUGGAGCAUAAAUUUUGUUAAAAUCAAUAUCUUCUUCCUAUAACUAUACUUUAGCAACUAACAUUCCUUUGUUACAUACUACAUUACCUUUCUCGUCAAGUUUGUUUUGGAAUACCCACUUGCUUCCUAUCACUAUUUCAUCUUUGGGUCUAGCGAUUAGUGUCACGUCCCGAUCCUCUAAGCACGUGCACAUCCCUCCAUGGUCGAUUAAAUAGCGACGUCCCAGGACGUAUCGCCGACCCAUUCAUUUUCAUACACAUGCAGAAGCAAAUAAAUAAUCCUCAGACAACAACAAGAUGGGAUAGAAAAGUAGAGCCAUAAUUUUGAAAACCAACAACACACUUAUAUAUACAUAUCAUAACAGGUCAUACACAAACCAAACCGAUAUAUACAUAAACCAGGUCUACAAAACAAGGGGGAGUUUUCAAACAACUGCUAGUCUUCCUCCUGCUCCACAUCCUCACUUUCAAUGGAGCCUUUCGCCAAGUACACUGGGGUUCCUGGAUCUUCAAGAUCCGAGUCUAUCGGGUCUACUACCGAACCUUCUAGAGGAUCUGUAAUGCCUUUCCCAAAAGCAACCUCCAACACAUACACAAAUAUCUCGAAUUCUAGUAUAGGACCCUCUCUAUAUCGAUGAGGUACCUUAUGGGGUAGAGCCUCAUCAACCCAGGCCAUAGACUUCAUGAGCUCAUAGACCAGACCCCUGGGUGCCCAAGAAUCGGAAUAUAGAGUACCUGUUAUGUGAUCUUCUUCGGUUGACCAAAACGCUCAGGAGGAGCUGCCAUCUAGGGACCUAAAAUGCUAUCCCACAACGGGGUGAAACGACGUCUCAGCAAGUUCAACCCCUUAAAACCUAACUAUGAAGAAAAUACGCCCCAAGGGCUGCCUAAGCACAAACACGAGUUGGAGGACUUACUUUGGCUUUAGUUCCUUCCUGCAAAUCGAUAUAAUUCAAAUAACCAUCCAAUCAUUUCAACCCAUUAGAUCGAAUCAUCGAUUAAUCGACUCAGUCGAGUCGAAUCCAUGUCAUCAAGACCAUUCCCCAGUCAUCUCAAUCAAUACUAUCUAUAAAGUCCGAUCAUAAUCAAGACUGCUCACUCUAAGCUGAUAAUAGAUAGUAUAGCUCACCAGAAGCUGCUAAGUAUACUACUCGCUCUAAACUGACAUAUCGCCUACAGGCUAAUAUAGUAUACUAAUAAUGCUCACCAGAAGCUGCUAGGUAUACUACUCGCUCUAAGCUAACAUAUCAAGGCUCGCAGGCUGAUAUAGUAUACCGGUAUACUGCUCACUUUAAACUGACAUAUCGCCCGCAAAUUGAUAUGGUAUACCAUCCUAAUCAUCUAAUCAUUUCACCAUUUUUAUCAUUCACGAUAAAAAUAAUCUUGUGUUGGUACAUGGUCGACCUUAGCCAAAAUACAAUAUUUUCCCCUUUGAAAUUCCCAUUAAUUUCAACAGUUCACGAAUCCAUUUUUGGCAUUGUAAACCGACGUCCGGUGAUUUUCUAAUUAAUUGCUGAAAUUAUUAAAUUUUGGGAUAAAUACCCAAAAUCACAAAUCACAUUCAAUUUGCACAAAAUGACAGUCAAUUAAAUAAAUAGAUCACACCACUACAAUCAACACAAAAUUCCGGUCACCGGCUAUCCCGGUCUAAUUUCUGGAAAUAAUUAAUUAAAUAAUUACGAAAAUUAAUUAAUAAAUACCAAAAAUGCACACUUAGGCCUGUAAAGCCUAAUUAAAAGCUGAGACAGGCUCGGAAAAUUUUGCGAACCACUCUAGAUAAAUACUGGAGCUUGUCUAGGCUUUAAUUACACUACUCCAACCAGUUAACAUGUAAUAACGAUUAAUUAAAUAACUAAUCUUAUUAUAACUAUCCACCUAAUCCAUACUUACUCUAAACUAAUCAAUCUUUAAACGUCAUUAACUUACUAAGCAAUGAUUAGUGAGUUAAAAUCACUUGAUUAAUAAUCCGCUCAUAUUAAAAAUGACGGGGACGUGGAGAGGCUUGACAAACUUCAAAGCGAGAUCGCCAAGCGAGGUCGGGAAAGCCACAAAAACGAGUCAAACAGCGGCUUAGAGACCCACUACUGUUCAGUUCUGGUCGGUAGCUGCAGAAGCUGCUUUGGUGGCUAGUUGGGGCCGAAACAAGCAGGGAAGACUUGUGGAGUCUUGGACAGGUGGUUGAGGAGGUGGACGGUGGCACACAGCAGCUGGGACAGCUUCGGCAGAUGGCGAGCAGGGCACUGGUGGAGAGCGCAAGUAGCGGAGACGCGCGAACCGGCACACAACUAGACAGCAAGCAGACGCGAAUCGCUGGCUUGGCGAGUGGUCAGACAGGAUGCAGCAGCUCCGACGGGCUUCAACAGGCAAGAGGGGCUGCUGGUUCGGUUUUUUUGGGCUCUUAAGCUUCAAAUAGCACAGAGGAAGGAGGAGGUCGACGAGCAAGGGGAGAAGAAGAGGGAGGGAACCACAUUUGGUCUUCUUCUAUCUUCUUAUCCCUCUUUGACUUGGCCCCACCACCAUAGCUGGCUUCCUCUGCAAUUUACAACAGCCAAUCUUCCUCUAGAAGCAAAAUGAAAUGGUCCAAUUGUUGGGUUCAUGGGGGCACAUGAAUUUUGGUUGGAAUUGGUUCAAUUACCAUUCAAUUCCUCCUCGAAUCAACUCAUUUUGGCUUCUAUAAAUCCCACCAACAUAUCAUCUAUCAAAUUGGCAUUUUCAUUCGCCAAUAGAACCUCUUUACAUCCCAACUUCGUGAUAAAAAACGGUUCUCGGAAUUUCCCGGUCGAAAACGGCCCUAUGUCGACUAUUUCCGCCAAAACCUCAAUUUGCAGAAAAAUCUUUGGAGACCAGGUCGAUGUUCCUAAAUUGACUCGUGACAUGAUGGAACUUUCAAUUUUUGAAAUCGGAUUCAAAUUCGCGGUUAAUUUAAAUCUGACAUGAUUUUAGCAUAACCUAGGCUACCAGUACAAAUGACCAGUGGUCGAUUUUUUUCGAGCCACAAUGAACCCAUUCGACAUAUUGGCGACUCUCGGUGGUCGUGAAAAUCUUGAGGUUUCAAUUACGGACACAGAGUACCAAAAUGAUACAAAAAUCAGUAUAGUGCCGAUCGACGAGAAUUUUUCAAUUUGGUGGAAUCACCCCUGUUUAACCACACAUCUUAGUCAAACCGACCUAUUUCUGAUUUCUAAUCGAUCUUUACUAUGCCGAAAUGAUCCCUGCAAAUGAGCACGGUCGAGUAAUCGAUUCAUGGUCAAAUUCCCAAGUCUAAUGCGUUUAAAUUCCCUAAUGACUUCCCCAGAUAAUCUAGUUAUCUCAUGAGUGAUCAGCUCUGAGAAUAACACUAUAGGUGUGUCGAUGAAAUGCCCAAUUUAAUUUAAUUAAAACAGAAUUGAAAAUUCAAGAUGUGACAACUCUUCCCCUCUUAUAAAAAUUUCGUCCUCGAAAUUUAAACCAUUACAAUACUUUAAACAAAAAGGUGGGGGUACAAUUGUCUCAUCGACUCUUCGCUCUCCCAGGUUGCUCCUUCAAUGCCAUGGUGUUACCAGACCACUUUAACCAACAAGAUGGUCUUUGUACACAGAACUUGCUCUUUCCAAUCCACAAUUUGAACUGGGCUUUCCACGUACGACACUCUGUCAUCCACAUCUAAUUCCUCAAAAUUAAGCACGUGGAUUGGGUGAGGCUCAUACUUCCUCAAUAUUGACACAUGAAAGACGUCAUGCACUUACGCGAAUCUCGAUGGCAACGCAGGAUGAUACGCUAAGAUCCCGAUUCUCUCUAGAAUCUCAAACAAACCUACGUACCUCGGACUCAGCUUUCCUUUCUUGCCAAAACGCGAAGUUCCCCUCAUUGGUGACACUUUCAGAAAAACGUAAUCACCAACUUGGAAUUCCAACGGUCUCCGGCACUUAUCUGCGUAACUCUUCUGUCGGCUCUGAGCGGUCUUUAAUCCACCUCUGAUAACUGCAACUGUAUUCACUGACUGCUAAACCAACUCUAGACCUGUGAUCUUUCUUUCCCCAACUUCAUCUCAACACACUGGCAUUCUGCACGCUCUGCCAUACAACGCUUCGAAAAGAGCCAUCUGAAUGCUCUGCUAGUAGCUAUUGUUGUAGGCAAACUCGACAAUAUGAAGCUGUUCCUCCCAACUUCCCUUGAAAUCCAACAUGUAAGCUCGUAACAUGUCUUCGAGGGUUUGAAUCGUCCUCUCAGAUUGGCUAUCUGUUUGAGGAUGAUAUGCCAUACUAAAUUGUAGCUUCAUACCUAAAACAGCCUGCAAAAUCUUCCAAAAUGCAGUUGUGAAUCUCGGGUCUUGGUCUAAAGUAAUCGUCACCAGCACUCUAUGUAGUCGAACUAUCUGACGCAUGUACAACUCUACGUGUCUAUCCAAACUAAGGUCCUUUCGCACUACAAUGAAGUGAGCCGACUUUGUCAAUCUAUCGGCCACUACCCAAAUCGAAUCAUUUCCUCUAUGACUCCUUGGUAAACCUGUCACAAAAUCCAUUGUGACAUGCUGAUCUCAAAAGGUUGCAGAAGUCUUCCCAGCUUACAAUGCUAUGCUUUGACCUGUUGACAUGUCAGACACUUGACGACAUGUUUGGCAAUGUCUGCCUUCAUACCAGACCACCAAUAGUGUUGACGCAGAUUUUGAUACAUUUUCGUACUGCCAGGAUGAAUGUUGUAGCUGCUACGAUGAGCUUAUAAUAAGAUCUCCUCUCUAAGCUCUGCAUCGUCAGGUACAACCAACCGUCCUUGGAACCUCAGUGUUCCAUCCUUAGAAAUCUAAAACUCAGCUUUUCUCUUAUCAAUGUCCUCUUGCAAAAUCUUCAGAACAUCUGGGUCUGUCGGCUGAAGGGUCUUGAUCCUAAUCUGAACAUCCGGCUCAAUUCUGAGGGUGGUCAUAAGAUUUGAAAGGUGGCCUACCUCAAACUUGAACACCGAAUCUCGAGCUCUCUCAAUUAAAUUCCAUUCUUUAAUCAGCAUAUGAGCGACUGAAGACUUUCAACUCAAAGCGUCGGCGACCUUAUUCGCCUUUCUUGGGUGAUAUAAGAUAUCACAAUCGUAGUCCUUCAGAAGUUCCAUCCAUCAGCGCUGUCUCAUAUUUAACUCCUUCUGAGAGAAUAGAUACUUGAGACUUUGAUGGUCAGUAAAGAUCUGGAAUCUUUCUCCACACAAAUAAUGUCUCCAAAUCUUCAGAGCGAAAAUGAUUGCGGCGAGUUCUAAGUCAUAUGUCGGGUAAUUUUGCUCAUGCGGUCUCAACUAGCGAGAUGCGUAUGCAACAACCCUACCAUGUUGCAUCAGUAUGCAACCCAGUCCUCUGAACGAUGCAUCACUAUAGAUUUUGUAUCCUCUAGGACCAGAUGGAAUGGUCAGCACAAGCGCAGUAGUCAACUUUUGCUUAAGCUCCUAGAAACUACACUUACACUUGUCUAUCUAUACAAACUUCUCUUCUUUCUUUAAGAGUCAAGUCAACGGCGAUGCUAAAGCUAAAAAUCCCUCUACGAACCUUUUGUAGUAACCUGCCAAACCUAGAAAACUUAUGAUCUCUGUCAUGGUAGUCGGUCUUAGCCAGUUGAUCACUGCUUCAAUCUUGGACGGGUCUAUAGAGAUUCCUUCACCUGAAAUCACGUGACCUAGAAAAGCAGCACGAGUCAACCAAAACUCGCACUUGCUAAACUUGGCGUACAGCUGAUGAAUCCUCAUAGUCUGUAGUACCAUUCUCAAAUGGCUCUCAUGCUCUUCAUCACUCCUCAAAUACACCGGAAUAUCAUCGAUGAAUAUGAUCACAAACUGAUCUAGGUAUUCCUUGAACACUCGGUUCAUCAGAUCCAUAAAAGCAGCUAGAGCAUUCGUCAAACUGAACGGCAUUAUAAUGAACUCAUAAUGGCCGUAUCGAGUACGAAACGCUGACUUUGGAAUGUCUUUCUUCUUGAUCCUCAGCUGAUGAUAUCCUGUCCUCAAGUCGAUUUUCAAAAAUAUCGACGCUCCUUGUAACUGAUCAAACAAGUCGUCAAUCCUCGAGAGUGGAUACUUGUUCUUGAUCGUUACUUGAUUGAGUUGACGAUAAUCGAUGCACAGGCGCAACGAACCAUCCUUCUUCUUCACGAGUAAAACUGGUGCUCCCCAAGGUGAUGCACUAGGACGUAUAAAUCCCUUAUCUAACAAUUAUUGCAUCUGCACCUUCAGUUGCUUCAACUUAGAUAACACCAUCCGGUAAGGAGCCUUAGAGAUUGGCUCUGUCCCAGGUGCUAACUCAAUCACGAACUCGAUCUCUCUCUUUGGCGGCAGACCUGCCAAUUCCUUCGGAAAUACAUCUAGAAAUUCUUGCACCAUUGCGAUGUCCUCAAUCUUCAGCUCCUCAACUGUCGUAUCCAUGAUAGUCGCUAGGUAACCUCGACAACCCUCGUCUAACAAACGGGUUGCCUCAAGCAACGAGAUCAAGGUAAUCGAGGGUCCUCCUUGAUUCCCGACAAACUUGAAACUCUCACCAUCUAACGGGUCAAACUGAAUUGUUUUACGAUAAUAGUCCAUCUUAGCUCGUUACUUGGUGAGCCAGUCCAUGCCAAUUAUCAAAUCAAAGUCAUACAUGACUAGGAUUAAUAAGUUUAUUUUCCCCUCUCACUCACCAAUCGCUAACUUGCAACAAGAACAACCCAAAGCAGCUAGCACCUUAUCCUUCAACGGUGUAGAUAUGCUAAUCACUGACCCCAAUAAUAUAGGACUUAAUCCUAUCAGCUUAACAUAUUGCUCUGUAAUAAAAGAAUGAGUUGCUCCAGGAUCAAAUAAAGCAUAAGCAAGAUGGUCGUUCAACGAAACCAUACUUGUAAUCGCAUCAAGCGCAUCCUCUACCUGACCUCUGGUGAUGGCAUAAAUGGUUCCCUGAGCUGGGGGUCUCAUCUGUCCACCUUGCGGUGCGUUCUGCAGCACAUACCCUCUAAUCUGUCCCAACGGUGGCAACAGUAGCAACUGCGGUUGUCCUAUUGGUCGUCUAGGACAAUCUCUGGCUAUGUGACCCCGUUGGCCACAUUCAAAACAAGCACCUGUCCUUUGAGGACAUGGGGCCGUACCAUGUCGCUUUCCACAAAAGCGACAUAAGCCAUUCUAAUUUGGCCUUGAUUUUCCAAUUCCACCCUUCCUGUUGGGCAGAACAUGGAACUUUCCUCUAGUCAUAGGCCUCUUCCUAUGUCGAAUCCCUUCUCUACUCGAAUUAAACCUCGAUCCAAACAAGGCGGCCUGCUCAUUCAGACUCCUCUCCAGUAGCUGGGCUCGAUUAUACACCUCACGAUAGUUCUUCAGGUCCAACAACACCAAUGAUUGCUUCAGCUCUAGUCGAAAGCCAUUCCUGAACCUUCGAGCUUUUUCUUUUGGAUCCUCUAUCAACCUCGGAGCAUAUUGAGAAAGCUCCGCGAAUUUGACCUCGUACUGGUCAGCCGUCAUCAUUCCUUGGCGGAGGUGUUGAAAUUCAUCCAUCUUCUAUUCUCGGGCACUAACCGAGAAGUACUUAUCAUUGAAAGCUCGGAGGAAGAUGUUCCACACAGGGACCACGCCUUCCGCGAACACCGUAUCUCUGGCGGCCCUCGACUAGAUAUUUGCGUUACUAUGCAGUUGAUACACUGCUAGGACCACUUUCUCCUCUUCAUUGCACCUCAGAAGUGCAAAAGCCUUAUCCAAGUCUUGAAUCCAUAGCGAAGCAGUCUCAAGAUCUCUAGUACUAUUGAACCUCGGCAGGUUCAGCUUCAGGAAUUGCUCCACCAACUUGUGGAUUAGUCUCUCUCUUUCCACAACUACAUUCUUAGCCGAUUGUUCGACGGGUGUGGCAACAGGUGCGGUAGCGGCUGCGGCAGCAACAGCAACAUUGGCAGAUGCAAUAGCAGCGGCUGCAACAGCGGUGGUAAAGGCGGCAGCUUGGUUCUGGGCCUGUUGCCCCAUCAUAUCUCUCAUCGCAUCCAUGGCCUAUGUGAUCCCAACAGUUCCUGGAUCACUAGGGGCUGUUACCCCAGCACCAACAGAAGGUGGCGCUACUCCAUUAGUGCUAGCCUGUGCUGGCGCUCUACCUCACCCUCCUCGAGUACCGACCUUCAUCGGCAUCCUACCUCGAGUCACGGGCCCUAUGGUAUGCUUCUUAGGAGUCCUCUAAUCCUGAUCGCUCAUUAUGAAGGUUCUUUAAAGAAACCUACUUCCAAUUCCACACCGAAUUAGAAGCUUACCGAUCCACACAAACAAGCGAUUCUAUCAAUCAGCAAUCAUAGACAUGCACCAGCAUGAAAUUAAAGGCCUUUCCUACUAACUAUCCCAUAGACCUAUCGCACCUUAUCACUCCAGCCACUAACCAUGGGCUCUGAUACCAUUAAACGGGGAUGUCGCAUCCUGAUCCUCCGAGCACAUGCCCAUCCCUCCAUGGUCGAUUAAAUAGCGACGUCCUAGGAUGCAUCGCCAACCCAUUCAUUUUAAUACGCAUGCAGAAGCAAAUAAAUAAUCCCUAGACAACAAGAUAGGAUAGAAAAUUAGGGCCAUAAUUUUGAAAACCAACAACACACUUAUAUAUACAUAUCAUAACAAGUCAUACACAAACCAAACCGAUAUAUACAUAAACCAGGUCUACAAAACAAGGGGGGUUUGCAAACAACUACUAGUCUUCCUCCUACUCCACAUCCUCGCCUUCAAUGGAGCCUUCCUUCGAGUACACUAGGGUUCCUGGAUCUUCAAGAUUCGGGUCUACCGGGUCUACUACUGAACCUUCUGGAGGAUCUGCAGUGCCUUUUCCAAAAGCAACCUUAAACAUAUAUACAAAUAUCUCGGAUUCCGGUAUAGGACCCUCUCUCUGUCCAUACCGCUCACGACAGUACCAUGAUUUGUAUUGAUGAGGUACCUUAUGAGGUAGAGCCUCAUCAACCCAGACCAUAGACUUCACGAACUCAUAGACCAAAUCCCUAGGAUGCCCAUGAAUCGGAAUAUAGAGUACCUGUUCUGUGAUCUUCUUCAGUUGACCAAAAUGUUUAGGAGGAGGUGUCAUCUAGGGACCUGAAAUGUUAUCCCACAACAGGGUGAGACGACGUCUCAGCAAAUUCAACCCCCUAAGACUCGACUAGGAAGAAAAUACACCCCAAGGGCUGCGUAAGCACAAACAUGAGUUGAAGGACUUACCUUGGCCUCAGUUCCUUCCUGCAAGUCAAUAUAAUUCAAAUAACCAUCCAAUCAUUUCAACCCAUCAGAUCGAAUCAUCGAUUAGUUGACUCAGUCGAUUCCAUGUCAUUAAGAUCAUUCCUCAGUCAUCUCAAUCAAUACUAUCUAUAAAGUCCGAUCAUAAUCAGGACUGCUCACUCUAAGCUGAUAAUAGAUAGUAUAGCUCACUAGAUGCUGCUAAAUAUACUACUCGCUCUAAGCUGAUAUAUCGCCUGCAAGCUGAUAUAGUAUACUAAUAAUGAUCACCAGAAGCUGCUAGGUAUAUUGCUCACUCUAAGCUGACAUAUCGAGGCCCGCAGACUGAUAUAGUAUACCAGUAUACUGCUCACUCUAAGCUGACAUAUCGCCCGCACGUAGAUAUGGUAUACCAUCCUGAUCAUAUAAUCAUUUCACCAUUUUUAUUAUUCCUGAUAAAAAUAAUUGUGUGUGGGUACAUGGUCGGCCUUAGCCAAAAUACAAUAUUUUUCAUUUUGAAAAUCCCACUAAUUUUAACAGUCCACGAAUCCAUUUUUGGCAUUGUAAACCGACGCCUAGUGAUUUUCUAAUUAAUUAUUGAAAUUAUUAAAUUUUGAGAUAAAUACCCAAAAUCACAAAUCACACUCAAUUUACACAAAAUAACAGUCAAUUAAAUAAACAGAUCACAUCACUGCAAUCAGCACAAAAUUCCGAUCACCGGCUAUCCCGAUCUAAUUUCUGGAAAAUAAAUAAAUAAUUAAUUAAUUACAGAAAUUAAUUAAUAAAUACCAAAAAUGCACACUUAGGCUCGUAAAGCCUAAUUAAAAGCCAAGACGGGCCCGGAAAAUUUCCGAACCACUCUAGAUAAAUACUAGAGCUUAUCUAGGCUCUAAUUACACUACUUUAACUACCUAACAUGCAAUAACGAUUAAUUAAAUCACUAAUCUAUUCUAACUAUCCACCUAAUCCAUACUUAGUCUAAACUAAUCAACCCUUAAAUGUCAUUAACUUACUAAGCAAGGAUUAGUGAGUUAAACUCACUUGAUUAAUGAUCCGCUCGGAUCAAAACGACGAGGAUGUGGAGAGGCUCGACAAAUUUCAAAGCGAGAUCGCCAAGCAGGGUCGGGAAAGCCACAAAAAUGGGCCAAACAGAGGCUUAGAGACCCACUGCUGUUCGGGUCUGUUUGGUGGCUGCAGAAGCUGCUCCGGUGGCUAGUUAGGGCCGCAACAAGCAGGGAAGACUAGUGGAGGCUUGGACAGGUGGUUGAGGAGGUGGACAGCGACACACGGCGGUUGGGACAGCUCCGGCAGAUGGCUAGCAGGGUGCUAGUGGCAAGCGCAAGCAGCGAAGACGCGCAAACCGGCUCAAGACUAGACGGCGAGUGGACGUGGAUCGCUAGCUCGGCGAGCGGUCGGACGGUGUGCAAUGGCUCCAACAAGCUUCGACGGGCAAGAGGGGCUGCUGGUUCGGUUUUUCUAGGCUCUCAAGCUUCGAACAGCACAAGGGAAGGAGGAGGUUGAUGGGCUAGGGGAGAAGAAGAGGGAGGGGACUACCUUUGGUCUUCUUCUAUCUUCUUGUCCCCCUUUGACUUGGCCCCGCCACCAUAGCUAGCUUCCUCUGCAAUUUCUAGUAGCCAAUCUUCCUCCAGAAGCCAAAUGAAAUGGUCCAAUUGUUGGGUUCAUGGGGGCACACGAAUUUUGGUUGGAAUUGGUUCAAUUACCAUUCAAUUCCUCCUCGAAUCAACUCAUUUUGGCUUCUAUAAAUCCCACCGACAUAUCAUCUAUCAAAUUGGCAUUUUUCCUCACUAAUAGAACCUCCUUGCAUCCCAAUUUCACGAUCAAAAAUGGUCCUCGGAAUUUCCCGGUCAAAAAUGGCUCUAGGUCGACUUUUUCCGCCAAAAUCUUAGUUUGCAGAAACAAUUUUGGAGACCCAGUCGAUGUUCCUAAAAUAACUCGUGACAUUACAGAACUUUCAAUUUUUGAAAUCAGAUUCAAAUUCUCGAUUAAUGUCAAUCUGGCACGAUUUUAACGUGAUCUUAGCUAUCGGGUAGCUUUCAGAAAUUUUUAGUGCAAAUAACCGGUGGUCGAUUUUCUUUGAGCCACAAUGAACCCAUUCGACACAUUGGUGACUCUCGGUGGUCAAGAAAAUCUCGAGGUUUCAAAUACGGACACAAGGUACCAAAACGACAGAAAAAUCAGUCUAGUGCCAAUCGACGGGAAUUUUUCAAUUUGGUGGAAUCACUUGCGUUUAACCACACAUCUCAGUCGAACUGACCUAUUUUUGAUUUCUAAUCGAUCUUUACUAUGCCGAAAAGAUCCCUACAGAUGAGCAUGGUCGAGUAAUCGAUUCAUGGUCGAAUUCCCAAAUCUAAUACAUUAAAAUUCCUUAAUGACUUCCCUAGAUAAUCUAGUUAUCUCAGGAGUGAUCAGCUCUGAGAAUAACACUAGAGGGGCGUCGAUGAAAGGCCCGAUUUAAUUUAAUUGAAAACAGAAUUGAAAAUUCUGGAUGUCACAAUUAGUUCCCAAACAUCAUUGACUUUGAAUUGAUGUAUCUCAUCUUGCAUAGGCUCGAUCGAGUUUUCAUCCAUUAUGGCAUCUUCAAUUCCUUUGGGUUCUAAUUGAGACAUAAGAGCUAAGGAAUUUAGCAUGUUUUUAAGAGAUGACCUAGUCUUGAUUCCUUCAUCCAUUUUCCUAAUAAUAUGUUCCGUAAGAUGUUCUGACUUGAAUAUCUAAUCCUUAGAAGAUUGUCCUUGGUUCGAAAGAUCUGCUGAUAGUUAUGGUUGCCGCUAUUUACAAGUGAUUGGCAUAGGUAUUUAUAUGAUGUCUUCGUAGUCACCAGCUUGCACUCCUUUUUUAUCAUCCUUGAACUUCACAUAUAUGGACUCUUCGACUACUUUUGAAUCUUUAUUGAAAACACGAUAGGCUUUGUUAAUAGUUGAGUAUCUAAGAAAAAUACCUUCACUUGGUCUUGCAUCGAACUUCCCAAUGUUGUCAUUCACAUUCUUGAGAAUGAAAUAUCUGCAUCCAAAUUUAUGGAAGUAAUGUAGAAUAGGCUUUCUUCCCUUGAAAAUUUCAUACAAAGUCCUUUUCACCAAGGGUCUCAACAAUACCCUGUCAAGUGUGUAACAAGCAAUAGCAACAGCUUCAACCCAAAAGUAAGUGGGAAUUCCACUUUCGAUCAUGAUGAUUCUAGCCAUUUCUUGAAGUGAUCGAUUCCUUUUUUCAACUAUGCCAUUUUGCUAAGGAGUAUAGGCAGUGGAAAAAUUAUGCUCCAUUCCAUUUUCAUCACAAUAAUUGGCAAAGUUUUGAUUAUCAAAUUCUCCUCCAUCAUUAAUUAUGAUGGUAAUGACGCUGUAUCCUUUCCCAUUCUGAAUUUGUCAUGCAAAUUUCUCAAAUGAGUGAGAAAUUUCAUUCUUAUGAGAUAGAAACAUUACCCAUGUAAAUCGUGAGUAAUCAUCAACCACCACUAGACUAUACUUUCUCCACCUAGACUUAUUGUUUGUGUUGGCCCAAACAGAUCCAUAUGCAACAACUGAAAAGAUCCGUAGUAGCAAUAGGUUCUGUUGAUUUGAAAGAACUUCUUAUCUGCUUUCCCAACGUACAGGCAUUACAAGAAUCACAUUUGAUGUAGUUGAUCUUUGGUAACCCACAAACAAGAUCUUUUGAAGAUAUUUUGUGAAUUUCCUUGGCAUUAACAUGACCUAAUUUCUUGUGUCAUAGAUCACACUCUUUCUUGAUAGAUAGUAGGCAAUAAGAUUCUUCAAAGUUGUUAUCGAGUAAGUAAAUAUUGUCAUACUUGUUUCUAGUGAAUGAUUGAGAAUUGUCCUUGCUAGUGUUAAUGCACUUACCUUUUUUGAAGCUUAUUUUGUGUCCCUUGUCACACAUCUGGCUAAUGCUCAUGAGAUUAUGCUUCAGUCCUUUGACAAGUGAAACAUCUUCAUCAAAUUUCCCAACUCAAUGUUUCCUUCAUCAAUGAUUUUACCUUUGUCUUUUCCCCCAAAAUUAACAAGUCCUCCAUCUAUGGUGGUGAGUGUUACAAAUCUAAUGCUGUCUCUAGUCAUAUGUCCGAAAUACUGGCUGUCCAAAUACCACUUGUUUUUCUAGAAAAUCACCUCUAAUCAAAGAGAAUCUAAUCUUUUCUUUGGUACCUAUAUAAACUUGAGUCCCCUGUGGUCAGUCUUUGAUUCAAGGCCAAAAGACCAGCUAGUUUUUUCGGACCUCUUCUGUUGUUUUGGAUAAUCCAUUAUGAAAUGGCUAUAUCCAUUGCAGUCUGAGCACUCAGGAAUCUUCGGCUAGUAGCACUUGUGAAUUGUCUAUCAUAGUGAUAUUUGUAACAAUGCACAGGAGAUUUGUGCUUCAAUCUAUCAUUUGAGUUUGGAAAGGGAUUCUUCUCUUCUUCAUUUCCAUCACGUCCCAAGCAACUUUUGUUGUAGUGCGGAAUUUGAAUUGAGAAAAUGUCUUUCAAAGUUUCUGAACAAAGAGAAAAUUUGAUACUGAUUUUUGAAUCUCAUCUCUGAAAUUCUCAUUCUCAACUCGAAGAAGUUUUACUACAUUCACUCGAAGGUCAAGUUCCUUCUUUAGUUUGUCCUUUCUUUGGGUAAGGCUCGCAACAGCUUGUUCACCUAUUCAGUAUCAAUAUACACUUUUCCUUGAAGAGCAAGACCAUUCACUAUUUUAGUGAAUCAAGUGAACAUUUGUGUUAUUGUUUCAUUAGAUUUCAUCUUGAAUAACUUGUAGCUUCUGAGAAAGAUGUUUAGCUUUGUUUCUUUCACCCUGUCUUUUCUUUCAAAUGUCAGCAUGAUGUAAUCUCGAAUUUCCUUAACUGUACCACAAAAAUAAAUUCUAUUAAACUCAAAUGGUGAUAAAGCAUAAUACAAGAGAUGUUUGGCCUUAGCAUUAAGAGGAGCUUUUUUUUUCAAGCUUCUUCCAUGUUGUUAACAGCAACGGCUUCUUGACCGUCUUGGUAGGAGCCAGUACUUCUACACCAUUUAUAAUUACAUCUCACAUAUCCAGAUUAUUGGAUUCAAUGUAUGAUUGACUUCUUUGCUUCCAAUAACUAUGGUUGCUUCCAUCAAAGUAAGGUGGCUUGUUGGGAGCUUGAGUAUCAUUAAUAAAAAAAGCUGUCACAGUUAGCUAUAAGAGAGGAUAUUUAUGCUCAUAAGUUAUACACUUCAAAUAAUGAGCAAAGGGUUCUAAUGCAAAUUGUUAGUGGCUAACAAUACAUCUUAGAGGGGGUAAAUAGAUUGUUUUGGAAAAUUUGGUGAUCUUUCAUAGAAAUUAGCUAAUCGUUAAGCAAAAAUUAGGUCAAUGUGAUGUUUAGAAAAGCUAUAAAGCAACCGUGUGCAAAUAGGAGUAAACGGAUGAAAAUAGCAACGCAUAGAGGAUUAUAGUGGUUUGGCUUUGUCCACAAACCUAUAUCCACUCUUCAAACUAACAACCAUAAGGUAGGCUGGAUUCCACUAGUAAUUUGCUUGGAAAGUUACAAAUGGCUAACACUUAUCCUUUACAAAAAAGAUAUCACUAUUAGGACUCAAUUACAGCUCUUACUCUUAUACGCUUAAUCCCUAGCACAAUUACUAAAUAGCACGAAUACUAAAACAGUACGACAAAGAGCGUAUAGCUAAGAAAAACAGCAAGAAGUAAACUUCUUGAUCUUUUGAAGUUGCACACUCUUAACACAUGGCUUAUGAUGUCUUCUCUUUUAUAGUCAUCUUCAAUCUAUCCGUUGAAGGUGGAUUGGAGAAGCAAAUAGCCGUUGGAAUUACCAUUGAGCUGUUGUUCGUGGAUGGAACUAUCAAUAAUGCUCUUUUCCUCAAACCUUUGCAGACUAUCUAGAAAUAGCAACUGUUGUUAUCUUCUCAUUACAGUCUUUGACAGACAUGUCAAAUGACUUAGCUACUUGGCUACAUGUUUCAUCUAGAUUUUACUACUGUACAAGUCCAAGGCCACAAAAGCUAGUUUGUUGACCCAAUGAAUAUCAUUAGACAUACGUCAUUGUCACAACACCAUCAACCCGAUCUUUAUAGCUUCAACACAAAUAUCAUCAACUGCUGAUCUUUUAGGUCCACUAGUACUGUUUACAAAAAAAAAACUGUAUAAGGACAUUUUGCGAACUUCUUUCCUAUGGAUUACACCAUGGAUAUUGCGCGGUCCUUUGAUCCAAACAUUUGCAUACAUCAUAAUAAAUAUUAUACUAAGGAUAGUUUAGACAUCAUCAAAAUCACUUGGAGAUGUUUUUCCAAUAGAAAUGGCCUAGAUGAGCCCAUAUAAUCAAGUUUAGACCUAGGUUUUUGCUAUAUAGACAUAUUUAUCUGAUAAUUCAAAGUCGGCAAAUCAAAAUUUCUCAAUAGUUAAACACGUGAGAAGAGAAGAGAAUCCUCUAGACCAAGCCUUGGCCAAGACAGCCCCUUUGUGGCAUUGCCUUUCGACGCACCGUUGUUGCUACUUGCUACUCCCAGCCGCAAUGCCCCGAUGACCUUCGUCGCCUAUGAGCUGUCUCGCCAUCGCUGUGCUGCUAUGACCCAUGACGGCGCUAGCCGCUCCAUACUACCUAAGCAAGCCACAUUGCCUAUUGACGAUUGUUGCUCCCUACUAUCAAGCUAUCCCGUGUAGCCUCGACAUCGCUCGCUACUUCUUUGUGAUUGAGCUGCUAUCUCGUGACAUCCCUACCAACUUGAGCCAUGAGCCCCGACAUGAACUCACUACUUCUCCGUGGCCGGAUCUAUAGUCCAUCAUCGCGGCGUACUCACCAUCUCGAGCUGCAGAACUUCCCCGACAAGCCUAUUGCCCUACCAUCAUCUUGAGCCAUUGCAACAAGAACCAUCUCUGUCUUAGCCAGUGAACCGCCCACUACCGUCGAGUCCCGUCUUGCAAUUUCAGUCCAAUUACAUCAAGUUCAAAUUUGGAAAGUCAAUAUGCAAAUUAGGUAGUUUUCUUAUUUUUAACUGAUUUGAAUAUUUACUUGCCUAUUUUGAUUGAUUGUCAUCUUUUAUCAAAUAUUCAAGCAAUAAUGCAUAUCCAAAAAAUCUUAGAAACCACCCCAAGUUAGGAAACUUUUCUAACUCAACAACGUGCUUGGAUGGUAAUUCGAUCUUUAGCUAUGAGAUAUGAUAUCCGGUAGUGCAAAAAAUCUUUUAUCUUAUCCAUAAUUACUUGGAUACGAUCCUUGAUUUACUUGUUUUCAAAUUUAAACAAAAAACGUUCCAUUAAUAUAUUUAAUCACUUGGAUUUAAUCGUUGGUUUAUNNNNNNNNNNNNNNNNNNNNNNNNNNNNNNNNNNNNNNNNNNNNNNNNNNNNNNNNNNNNNNNNNNNNNNNNNNNNNNNNNNNNNNNNNNNNNNNNNNNNNNNNNNNNNNNNNNNNNNNNNNNNNNNNNNNNNNNNNNNNNNNNNNNNNNNNNNNNNNNNNNNNNNNNNNNNNNNNNNNNNNNNNNNNNNNNNNNNNNNNNNNNNNNNNNNNNNNNNNNNNNNNNNNNNNNNNNNNNNNNNNNNNNNNNNNNNNNNNNNNNNNNNNNNNNNNNNNNNNNNNNNNNNNNNNNNNNNNNNNNNNNNNNNNNNNNNNNNNNNNNNNNNNNNNNNNNNNNNNNNNNNNNNNNNNNNNNNNNNNNNNNNNNNNNNNNNNNNNNNNNNNNNNNNNNNNNNNNNNNNNNNNNNNNNNNNNNNNNNNNNNNNNNNNNNNNNNNNNNNNNNNNNNNNNNNNNNNNNNNUAAAUAAAUAAAUAAACGAGUUAAAAAGUGAUUUCAAAAAAUAAAAAUAUUGAAUGUUAAGUAAUGAUAAAUUUUAAUUAUUAUAGAAGAUCGUAGAUUUAUUUAAAUAAAGUUGGUUCUAUUCUUUUGUUAGUCAUUAAUUUCAUUCAUAAUUUUUAUUAAAAUUAAAAACAUAUUCCCAAAUAUGGGUACGCAUUAAUUAUGAAUAUGCCUUUCAAAUUUUCUAUGAAUAGAUUUAUUAAUAUUAUUAGCGGAAAUUUAUUAUAAGUUCUUUAUUAUUUAUUUAUUUAUUUAUUUAUUUAUUUAUGAAUUUGAAUCAAAUUAAUUAAAAAUGAAAAUAUUAUUUAAUAUAUAACGUGUCUCAAUAUGUCGGAAUUCUCUAUUUUUGAAAAAUGAGGAGUCAAUGUGUCGUGUGGUUUCGUGUUGUAAGUCAGUAUUACUUAGGUGUCACCACGUGUCAAAAAUGAUGCAAUUAAAUAUAUUCAUUAGGACCAUUCGUUUUGAUGAUGGAAAAAUUUAUGUGACUUUUUAUUAGUUUUCUUUUAUUGUCAUUUGUCAUUUCAUGAGGUCCACAUCAACAAAGUAUUGAAAAGACAACAACAAGGGAUGAAGAAAAGACAACGACAAGGGAUGAAGAUGAUAACGAUCAUUAUAGAAAUAGAGAGAGAGGGAGAGAUACACGAGGGGCAAGGAUGAACGUGCGGCUACCGUCAUUGUUGUCAGGAUCACCAAACCCUCAUCUAGGAAAAUGGGACAGCAAGCACGCAAGUGCACAUGGACACCAUAUAGGCUCAUCAAAAUGGAUGAUUGGUCAAUUUGUUAACCCAUGUUCGAGUUGAAUAAAUCAUUAAUUGGUUAGUUAUAUUAAAUAAAUUAAUUAUAAAUAAGUUUAAAUAUAACAUAAAUAUUAAAUAGAUCAUAAAUAAAUUUAUAAUUAUUUAAACUCAAUCCACCUCCAUAACUCUCUUUUCAUUCUUUCUCUCUUUUAUUUGAUUUCACAUUCGCUCACUUCGCAUUCUCCCAUCAAUUUGAGUAUGAAUUUUUGUAAAUUGAGUUAAUGAAAGUGUUUUAAUGAUACAGGUUGAGCUAGGUAUGAUUAGAUUAGGUAUGGGUCAUUAAAUUUGUAUUGUAUAAAAAUAAGUCAGAAUGAGUUAAAUAGAUUUAUUUGAGUUGGACUAUUGUCGGUCGAACCCACCUGUUUGAUGAGUCUAACACCACCCCACCAUCUAAAUUUGCCUUAUCCCUAAGGGGGUGAUUUUUCUCUCUUGCCCUUGGAAGGGCUCCACUGUUGUGCGGAAGAACACCCUAACUAGAUGAGAAAAGUAAACAAGAAUAAUUAAGAACACGGAGAUUUACGUGGUUCGGCGAAAGAUCCGCCUAUGUCCACGGGAGAGAGAGAGACGAUUUCUUAUUUGAGCGUAUGUCAAGAGUACAAGGUACAAUGAUGAAAUAAAUAGAUCUUUAAAUCCCCACUUUCCUAAACCUAGUAGGAAAGGAAUUCCACCAUAAAGAUAUUAUCAAAUUUGAAACCCAAAUCUAGGAAAUAUAUUAGGAAACAAAUAGCCUGCAAUCUUCAAGUCUUCCUAGAUUUCCCGAUUGAAUUUUGUGGAAUUCAAGACAACAUCAGCAAAUCUCCACCUUUGGCUUGAAUAAACCACAAGCUUCCACUUGAACCAAGAAAACGAAUAUAUCUCGCAAAGGUACGCCCACACCUGGAUCGGUGCAGCCUCCAUCAACUUCAAUGAUGAGUGAGAGAAAUCAAGUCCCUAUAGGACUUGAACUUCUCUGUAGUAACCGUCUUCGUGAGCAUAUCUGCGGGAUUAUCUUUAGUAUGGAUUUUCUUCAAAGCAAUGCUACCAUUCUCCACAUAUUCUCGAAUUUUGUGGUACGGAACUUCAAUGUGUUUCGUUCUAGAAUGGAACACUUGAUUAUUCGCGAGACAUAUUGCGCUCUGGCUAUCGCAAUAUAAUGUAGCACUUUCUUGCUUUAUACCCAACUCUGUGACCAAACCAGUCAACCAUAUUCCCUCCUUCGUAGCCUUAGUUACUGCCAUAUACUCAGCUUCGGUUGUAGACAAUGCUACAGUAGGUUGAAGCAUUGCCUUCCACGAAACAGCUCCACCGUCAAGAGUAAAGACAUAUCCUGUGAUGGACCUUUGCUUGUCCAAAUUACCAGCGAAGUCUGAAUCAACAUAACCUGCUAAAUCGAUCGAUCCUCCCUUGGAACUAAACAUUAAACCCAUUCUAGCAGUUCUAGCCAAAUAACGAAAGAUCCACUUAACAGCUUCCUAAUGCUCCUUACCCGGAUUGCUCAUGUAUCGAUUGACGAGACUCACCGCAUGAGCCAAAUCCGGUCUGCUACAAACCAUAGCAUACGUGAAGCUCCCUACUGCGUUGGCAUAGGGUACUCGAGACAUCUUUACAACUUCCUCAUGUGAAACAGGGCAUUGUUUCUCAGAUAAUUUGAAGUGAUUUGCUAAGGGUGUACUAACCGGUUUAGCUUUACCUAUGUUGAACCGCUCCAAGACCUUCUCAACAUACUUCUUUUGAUUCACCCAAAGCUUACUUGCAUGUCUAUCUCGAAAGAUUUCCUUGCCAAGGAUCCUCUUUGCAGCACCAAGAUCCUUCAUAUCAAACUCACUACUUAACUGAGACUUUAGGGAAAUAAUGUCUCAAAUUUUUCUUGCAGCAAUCAACAUGUCAUCAACAUAGAGCAUUAACAGAAUAAGCGACUUAUCAUCCAAAACUUUGUAGUAGACACAAGAAUCAUGCACACUCCUCAUGUAGCCAAUACGAAGCAUAAAAGAAUCAAACCUUUUAUUCCAUUGCCUCGGAGAUUGCUUCAAACCAUAAAGUGAUCUCUUGAGCGAACAAACAUGAUCCUCUUUCCCUUCCACCUUGAAGCCUUCAGGCUGCUCCAAAUAAAUUUUCUCCUCCAAGUCACCAUGAAGGAAUGCCGUCUUCAUAUCUAGCUGCUCAAGCUCCAAGUCAUACAUGGCUACCAUAGCUAGUAAAACAUGAAUUGAUGUUUUACAACUGGGGAAAAUAUCUCGUCGUAAUCAAUCCCCUCCUUCUGUGCAUAGCCCUUAGCAACAAGUCGGGCCUUGUAUCUCUCUUGCUCUUUCUCCGUUGCUGCUUCCUUUCUUCGAAGAACCCAUUUGCAACCAAUGACAUUCCGAUCAUUGGGCUUCUUCACAAGUUCCCAUGUCUCAUUCUUUUGUAACAACUCCAUCUCCUCCAUCAUUGCGGUCAUCCACUUUUCUUUGUGAUCACUUUUCAAAGCUUCAUGGUAGGAGCUUGGAUCGCCAGAGCCUACGGUAAGAGCAUAAGCAACCAUAUCCUCAAAACCGUACCUCUCCGGUGCUUUGGGAGUGCGCCUUCCUCGACCCAUCGCAAUGAUACGAGGAACUUCUACCGUUUCUUUGACUUCCGGAGCUUCAUCAGAUGACUCGCCAUUCUCUGCAGAUUCUCUGGUUUCAAGCUCCACCUUAACGAUAGAUUUAUCACUCUCCUCUUCAGCAGCCGCGCGUGGCACGCAACUUGACUUCAACAUUGCAGAUUCAUCGAAUAUAACAUCCCUACUCGUCAGAACUUUCUUCUCACUUGGAUCCCAUAAUUUGUAGCCUUUCACUCCUUUCUCGUAACCAAGAAAUAUGCAUUGUUUUGAUUUUGGAUCCAACUUCGAGCGCUUCGAGCUCUGCACAUGUACAAAAGCAAGACAACCGAAUAUUCUUAAAUUAGAAUAAUUGACAAUUUUACGAGUCCAUACCUCUUCGGGAAUUUUGCUUUUAAUUGCAGUUGAUGGAGACCGAUUCACAAGAUAAUAUGCCAUGCAGACAGCUUCUACCCAAAACUCCUUGCUUAGUCCCGCAUGUAGCCUCAUGCUUCGAGCUCUCUCUAAUAAGGUCCGGUUCAUCCUUUCCGCUAUGCCAUUCUGUUGGGGCAUAUCCGGAACUAUGAAGUGACGUUUAAUCCCUUCAUUCUUGCAAAGCUCCAUGAAUGGUGUCGAUUUGUACUCUCCUCCAUUGUCCGAUCUCAAGCACUUAACCUUAUUCCCCGUUGAAAUCUCAACUUCAGCUUUCCAUUCUUUGAACUUUUCAAAGACUUCACUUUUGUGUCGCAUGAAGUAGACUCAAACUUUGCGAGAGAAAUCCUCAAUGAAUGUCACGAAGUAUUCCUUCCCUCCUUUUGACUUUACCGGUGAAGGACCCCAUACAUCCGUGUGUACAUACUCGAGCACGCCCUUGCUUGUAUGAGUUGUAGCAUUGAACCGAACUCUGCAUUGUUUUCCAAACACACAAAAUUUGCAAAAAUCUAAUUUGCAUGUUUUUAUACCUUUGAGUGCAUUCCUCUUGUGAAGCUCCAUCAAUCCUCUUUCUCCCAUAUGCCCGAGACACAUAUGCCAUAGAUAGGUGUUAUCUAUCUCCAUGCUAGCAUCCGUGGACACGGAUGCUCCACCUUGCACUGUGGUUCAUAUAAGUCAAUAUAGGUUCCCGUGCCUCUGUCCCUUAAGAACAACCAAAGCUCCCUUAAUCACCUUCAAGACUCCACCUUGAGCCGUGUACUUGCAUCCAUUGGAUUCAAGUGCUCCCAAUGAGAUCAAAUUCUUCCUUAGACCCGGAACAUGACGCACAUCUGCCAAGGUUCUAAUCAUGCCAUCAAACAUCUUGAUUUUCACGGUUCCAACACCCACAGUCUUGCACGAAGUAUCAUUCCCCAUGAGAACUGAACCACCAUCAUAUGCCUUGUACUCAUCGAAGACUUCUCGAUGAGGACACAUGUGAAAAGUGCAUUCGGAGUCCAUGAUCCACGAAUCUUCAAAGGUGUCCUUCCCCGACGAUAUGGACAAGACGCCCCCAUCAUUGGUCUCAAUGCUGUCGGCUAUACUUGCCUCAUCCGAGCUCUUCUUCUUUUUCUCGUUCUUAUUUGGACAGAAUCUCUUGGUAUGCCCUUCCUGAUUGCACCCGUAGCAUCUUCCUUUGAACCUUCCCUUGGAUUUUGAUCGACUCCUACUACUCGAUCCUCAAUCCGUUGAUCUUCCUCUUCCUUGAUUGCUUUUCUCCUUUGCAAAGAGUCCCUCUCCCGAAGAUUUUGAACUACUUGCCCUUUUCUGGGUGUCGUUUGAAAUUAGGGCAGCAGUCCCCUCUCUGAUCUCUAAGGUUUCUUUGCCAUAAAGGAGCGUAGUCACCAAGUGGUCAAACGAAUCCGGCAACGAUGCCGGUAGUAGAAGCACUAUGUCUUCAUCCUCAAACUUUACCUCCAAGCUUGUAAGUUCACUAAUCAUCUUAUUGAACACGUUGAGGUGUUCCAACAGAUCUCCUCCUUCACUCAUCUGAAGUGAAUACAAUCUCUUCUUCAAGAACAACUUGUUCGUAAGAGAUUUCGUCAUGUAAAUGCUUUGGAGUUUGAGCCAUACCUCUGGAGCAGAUUCGAUUUCCGCUACAUAUCGAAGGGCCUCAUCCGAUAGGUUUAAUCGGAUUGCACUGCACGCCCUCUCCUCCAUGUCAGCCCAAUCAUCAUCAGUGAUGGUGUUCGGCUUGUUUGAUCUUCCCAAAAGAACCUUUGAUAAACCUUGUUGAAUCAACAGAUCCUUCAUCCUUCUCCGCCAUAGUGUAAAACUAUUCUUCCCGGUGAAUCGUUCAAUAUCAAAUCGAACGGUUGAACCUUUUCCAGCCAUCUAGUUAGAAGUCACAAUACAGGAACGGAAAACCUGGAUUGCUCUGAUACCAAUUGUUGUGCGGAAGAACACCCUAACUAGAUGAGAAAAGUAAACAAGAAUAAUUAAGAACAUGGAGAUUUACGUGGUUCGGCGAAAGAUCCGCCUACGUCCAUGGGAGAGAGAGAGACGAUUUCUUAUUUGAGCGUAUGUCAAGAGUACAAGGUAUAAUGCUGAAAUAAAUAGAUCUUUAAAUCCCCACUUUCCUAAACCUAGUAGGAAAGGAAUUCCACCAUAAAGAUAUUAUCAAAUUUGAAACCCAAAUCUAGGAAAUAUAUUAGGAAACAAAUAGCCUGCAAUCUUCAAGUCUUCCUAGAUUUCCCGAUUGAAUUUUGUGGAAUUCAAGACAACAUCAGCAUCCACAACCCUCGCCUAAGACAAUCGAUUCCCGUAGUCUUUCCCUUCUUGCGGUGGAUACCAUUGCGAUUGGGCGUGGCAGCGCCUCGUCGCAGUGGCAAGCAAUGGCGUUGAGGGCCUUUUCGGCUUCUUCUUUUUAUUAGUUUUUAAAAAUUUUUAGGCCUAUAUUGGGCACCUAUUUAGCACGACAUCAACAUGAAGUGUCCUGAUGGUAGAUAAUAAAAAAGAGACAAAAAAAAGGGGGUCUUUUCGUCCUUAAAAUAAAUUGAACUUAUUGAGAUACUCAUUUAAACGAGUAUAAAAUAACGCACAAGCCGCUCAUGAAUGUUAGCAUGAGUGAAUAUAUAUAGGAUGUAUGAGUACAGAAAGCAAGGCGUUGGUGGCUAUAAUUCUACGUGUACCAUUUAAGAUAGCCAUCGAAUGAUACAUUAUUAAACUAUCUCAUAUUGAUAGAUUAUAAGGUUUAUAUACUCCUUAUAUACAUGUGGUCUCUCUUCAUCUAUUAAUUUAAAUUUUUGUAUCGAACUUUUCAUUAUGGUAUUAGAACCGAUAAGGUGCUACUCGGUUUAUUUUGUUUGUGCAUAUAUCUCAUUCAUCAAACUUUACGUGUCAUUCUUAUUUCGAUUUGCACUAAAUCCAACCUCUGAGUUUAAGGUCUGGGUAUGGUUCAAAAGGGAGUGGAGGUCAAAUUGGAUGCUAAGUUUUUAUAUAAUUGAAACAUAGAAUUUUGUUGAUCAAGAAUAUAUUUUUCCUACGUGAUGCGACGCAGCAGAGAUUGAGGAGAAACUUUUAAGAGCUGACAUAUUCGCAAAAACAAGUGUAACUCCAUCUAAGACAGAUUUCCAAGUGUCUCUAUCUAUUUCCCUGUCAUUUCGGGUUUGCACGAGUGCUGGUUACGUGAAAAUGGAAGCCCAAACGCGCAUGUAAAUUUCAAAUCAUUUCGUUUGGGCUUCGUCUUGCCUAUCAAUCCGAGGUAAUUAUCGAGCGGAUGCGGGUCAAUUAGAGCCGGGCCUAACUUCGUCGCCGAGGCUAACAGUUGUCCAUGUGUUUUCCAAGUAUUGAGGAUGCUAACUCUUUAGACAGGAGUUUCGCUAUAAGACCUCUCACGUUCGGAGCUUCUAGCGAGGAUAAAUCCACACGCUCUUUACUAGAUCAGCCCAAUCACAUAUCUAGAUUAUUAAAAGUAAGUCCUAUUUUUUUAAAAGAAAAAACAUAUGCUUAUUCUAAUAGAAGAUUUUCCAUCGAUUAAAUUACCCUAUACAUUUGGUCUAAUAGAAAAUUUUUAUAACGCUUAGAAAUGUGCGAGGUCCUUCUCGGGCACAUUAUUCAUGCUAAACAACGCGAGCAUCAUCUCACAACAAUGAUUCACUCGCAGAUUAGAUGGAUUUAAUCUUGUUUUGUUGACAUUCGCAUGACAUUGAAAUAGGAUUUGCCUUGAAGCUUGCGAAAGUCUUAAGUAUUCAGCGCAAUUUUUAAUCAUGUUUUACCGACAUUCACGUUUGUCAUGCUUAUUCUCUUAAACAAAACUGGCUUUCAGAUGUAAUUAGGCUUUGUGAUGUUUUCAUCAAACCUUGAGUUGAAACCUUUAUAAGACAAGUUGAUUAUGGCCCUAUUGUGACCUACCCUCAUGUGAGCCACAUAGAAUUUGGCUAAUGGAUUACUAAAUCUAAACUUAGUCGAGCUCUCCCAAACUCAUAUCAUUUCACAAUUUAUGGUCCAAGUUCUUAAUAAGCAAAAUUAUUUUUAUUCAAGAGUUGCCAUACCCAAGUAAUGGGAGAAUUACUUUACUCUUAGGAACCAUAGAGUUUAAGGUUAGAGAUUUGAUUACACUAAUUAAUCAAUUAAUACUCUUUCAGUAUGUAUCCUUAUUCAACUACCAAAUAAAAUGUUCAUCUAACAUUUUAUAUUAAUCACGACUCUUAAGAUUCAAUUUGUAACCAAGCUAAGGAAAAUGCAAUCCAUGCACCAAAAGGGCACGAUCGAAAUAAUGGAAAUGUGCAAAAUACAGCCAACAUUUAUUUCCAUUAACAUUCAAUUUGUACUGGCCUGAUUUGGUUUGGCUUUGGGAAAAUAUCCUUAGAAGAAUGCAAGUACUUUUGACAUAAAGAGGUUUUUUAAAAUACAAAUAGCAUUUAAUGAGUUAUAAUUUUAAAAUGCAUUGGGGAACAACUUUUGCUUAAAUACCGUCUGAUAAAAUUUAUAUUUAUAAAGGACUUUUACUAAAUUUAAAAAAAAAAAGGUUUUUUUUUUUUUUGGGAGUUGAUCGCCAUAUCUAGCCGCUAGACUACCUCGCAUGGGUUGCCUUGUCAUGACCCAAGCGAGUGAUGUGGUGACCCCAUGCGGUGAUUGCUAGCGUGCACAACCCCUUGACCAGUAGCUAUCGGCCUUUGACUAGCUUUUCCGUGCAAAUCAUGGAAAAGAUGAAUAGUAAACAAAAAAAGGUCAAGACUUGCAUUUUGAAAAUGCAAUUUCUUAAAAGACCUCCGAACCUAUUUUGGGUUAAAGAUCUUUAGUGCUCUUGAGAGAUGCAAUUAUAAUUCCCUAAAGUUGAGCAAAAAAUGAAUCAAAUGUUAUUUGCAUUUGGCCAAAAGACUUUAGAAUCCCAAAGCCAUUUAAAAUUCUGGAUCAAAUGAGAUUAUUUUUAAGUUUUGAGAGCUUAUUCAAUUUUGAGCAUAAUUUCUUUUUUAAAAGGAUUUUCACACAUUUUAAGAGAAAAUUGUUCAAAAACUAAUUUUCAAGCUUCUUCCUAACUUCUAGAAAAGAUAAUUUUUUUUCUAGAAAUAUUUUUAGAAAUAUAUUUUAAUAUUAAAAAAAUAAUAAUAGAUUAUAUUAUAUAAUCAGGCGAACCAAGGUCGGCAACACCCACAACCCAAAACAACAAGAAAAGAAAAAAAAAAAAGCCCAGCCCGGGAUCUAAAUUAACCCUAAGCUCUUGCUAUCCCCAUCUUUCUUUGCUAAUCUCUCCGUUUACCCACAAACGCAGGCUUCCCUCUUCUCCAUGGACCGAGAAUAUCCGCUGGUUCAAGCACUACAGAAAACGCUCAAGUUUAAUUAAAAUAACUCAGGCAACACUGUAAGCCGUGUCCAGCCAUCACGCCGCUGCCAUCUGUGGCUACAGCCACCACCACCACCCUUUAUCUUCGCCGGCCAAGAACCUGUCACUCACAGAAACACGACGCGCACCGAAAAAGUGACAAAACAAGGACAUACAAAGCAAAGGAUAGCGGUGGCAAUGUACCAUAACGCAUCUAACGAAAAACAAGCACCCAAAAUGGACAGAAGACUAAGAACAACUGCACAAAUCUCUAUCAGGCAUUUCAUUGAACACACGGAAGGCGGCAGCAGAGAGGAGGUUAUAGACUUGUCCGAGACGCGAACUCAGACCAAAAUCAGCAAGCAAUGAAUAAGUGAGAUUCAGCUUCAGUACAGGGACGACUCGUUUGCACUCAUUACAAGUAUGAAUGAAGAAAACAGCAAGUCUUAGCCGCAAACGAAUGACACAAACGAGCAUCUAACCUAGGCAUUUCAUCGAGCAAGGUGGCGUGCACCAUCUGAGGAACGAACAAAAGCUUCACCGGGACUCUUCAGACGAGGACCGAGACAGAUCGCAAAGGACCGGAAAAAAGAAAAAAAAAAAUACCCAACAGCAGCAAAGCACAACAUAGAUGGGGUCGGGUCUAGCUCGAACCGGACGACGGCAGCCCGGUCCGGCCAGCCCAAAACAGGGCACAGAAAGGGCACAGAAAGGAAAGCAAAACAGGGGCGGUCGGAAAUGCUCCCUACCCGGCUCGGCGGCGUCGGACGGUGGGCGAGCUCGAUAGAUCGGGCUACGUCCGUUCGCCUCGUGAGUAUCCGAGCCGGAAUACUCCGGAAAUGGACCCGACCCGAGAAAAGAAGAAGAAGAAGAAGAAGAAGAAGAAGAAGAAAACCGAGAACCCAGACUAUUCCGUCAGGGAAAAGGGGCAACGUCGGUGGGUUGUCAGCCGGUUUUCAAGUGUGUCGGUCGACAGAGAACACUCACUCGUUCUCGGUUCCUCUCUCGGCUCUGUCUCACUCUUGGUCUCCCUCAACUCUCGAUCUCGCUCUCUCGCCUUCUCUCUGUUCGAACCCCCCUUUAUAGCCUCUUCUCCCACGAAUCGACCUGCCCAAAAGUCCAAUCAGUAGAGGCCCUUCGCCUUCCAGUCUCUUGCGCGUCGGCCGGUCCUUGGCCUGCACCGGCGACCCUUCUCUCCUCCCUGCUCUGCCGCCGGUCUGUCCCCUGCCUUAGACAGACCUGCUGCCUUGAGCUUCUCGACCUGACCGACAGCUUGAGUUGUCAAGUCAGGUCAAGCUC
rnacentral:lncRNA from 1 species